rnacentral:lncRNA from 1 species
AUAAAUGGCACAUAUACAUGACCAAGGACGGGAGGAUUUCGUUGGCAGGGUUGAACCUGGCGAAGUGCGAGUACCUUGCCGAUGCCAUCAUCGACUCCUUCCACAAUGUCAACUAGAUUAUGAUUUGCGUCGCGGCCACGAUACCGCGAUUAGUUCCUUCUAUAGUUUGCUGGGAUUUUUGGGUCCUUCCAGCUCGAGUUCUUAGUCAGGAUGUUGACGACGUGUCCGGUAAUUCAGAGGUAAUAAAUAAUCCGGCAAAACUCACGAAUGCUUAGCACUUGUACGGUCCUUACAAGUUUGUAAUACUCUACUAAUUAAUUAUAUAUGAUGGCAUCGUGUUCGCAAAAAAAUAUACGAUGGCAUCUGCAAGUAGCCUUUUUUGUGCCAUCUCAAAGUUUAUUUUUCCUUUUUGGUUGGAGGUAGUAUUAUUAUUUCUUUUUAGCACCAACUCUGAAGAUUCUUGGACCACCCCCCAUACCAUAGCCAUGGUAGUUUCUCUAGUGCGUCGUUUUUUACAAUCUUUGUUUCUUCCAUGAGCAAUGCCUGGAGGCCAUCAAAAUGGAUCCAGGCCUCUAAAAUGUGCUGCGAAGUCUAAGGGACAUUAUGUGAAGGGAAAAAUGGCAGGUUUCUGAUGGCAACUCUUGAGGUCCUGCCUUUGAGUGGUGGUUGCUCGUGUGGAGCUGGUUUUCCUCUCAAUGGAGGCAGCCAGUUCAACCAAGCCCUUCUUUCUGCCCUGUGCAAAACCUUUCUUCAUGGAGGUCCUUGCCGGCCAUGCCCGGCAGCAGCGCAACCCCCCGUCGUCCGCCGCCGCCGCCGCCCCCUGUCCUUUUGCACAAGAGGUCUGGUCUCUGUUUAGCCAGUCCAACCCUGAACCCUGAGAUUUAUCAGAGAAGUGCCAAAGGAUGCCAGAAAAGAGGCUCCUGUGUCCACAUCACAUGAUCAAUGGACCCUUGUUCAAGUCCACUGACAUAUGAAUUUGUCCAAUGCGGAUCUUAAAUCCGGUAUAAUCACCAUAUGUUCCAGAGAAGCUGUCCGAGAAGCUCAUUUCGAACUGAGAGCGUGAAGAGGCUGUGGCAACUCGAGAAGUCCGGAGAUUCAGCAAAUGCUAACUUGCUAGUAGUAGAAAUAGUUCAAACUACAGACUGCGGUCCGUUGAGCCAGUUGGUCUUUGCUAAAGGAAAUAUUAAUGGCGCCAUGAUCUGAAGACUUUACAUCAGCUCUUGAGGCUGACUGAAUUCUUCAGAUGCAGUUAGUUAGGUCGUGUUUGGUUCUCUAGUCCUAGGGCUUUUUCUAGUCCCUAGGACUUUUUGAAAAAGACUCUCAAGAAAGUGCUUCUAAGGAUUUUUAGCAAAAGGUCCCCCCUGUUUGAUUUGCUAGGGACUUUUUUUUAGUCCCAACACAAAAAAGUCCCUGGAACCAAACACCCCCUUAGUACUUCGUCUUUAACACUUCCUUUGUGAUCCGUUGGAUUUAAUCACCGAUUUCGAAGCGGAUAUGGGCAUCUAAUACUGUUAGGAAACAAAUCAGACGCAAAUCUAUUAGUAGUACCAACUGCAUCCAUGCAGUUAUACCUAUUUUCUUCUCUAAAACACCGAUCAAGAGGAGUCUGUAAUCACAACAAUGGAUGCAAAUCCACCCAAGAAGAAGAGGAAGAUCUGUACCGACGAGACAGCGGCGGCGCUGGCACUGCCCGACGCCGUCGUCCUCGAUAUUCUGGAGAGGCUGCCCACCGACGACGUCCUCCGAUUCCGCCGCGUAUGCACCGCCUGGCGCGCCACGGUCGACCGCGACCCCGCCUUCGCCCGCGCGCACCUGCGGCGCUGGCGGGCGGAGACGCUCGUGGUCUCGCCGUGCGGCCCCGGGACGGGCCCGUUCCUCAGGAUACACCGGUACCGUGAGUCCGGCGACCGCGGCGGGCCCGUGUCGCGGGUCCAGCUCCGCUCCCCGCGGAGCUUCGACCGCAGCAUCGUGCACUGCGACGGCGUCCUCCUCGUCUGCAGCGCCGCGGAGCUGCUCGCGUGGAACCCGGCCACCGGCGAGUCUGUGCGGCUCCCGCGCGGCGCGCCCAGCUGCGUCGGCGACGGCGUCGACCGCCUCGGCUUCUGCUACGACGCCGCCGCGCGCGCGCUCAAGGCGGUCCGCCACUACUACCGCGUCCACGACGUCCUGGCGGGGGCGUACAGCCUCGGCGUCGAGGUGCUCGCGCUAGGCCAGGGCCAGGGCACGCCGUCGUGGCGCCCGGCCGCCCGUGACCCGCCGUGCCCGAUCUACGGCACGGCCCCCGCGUCCGUCGGCGGCGCCGUGUACUGGGUCAUCGACAACAGCUUCCUCGACAGCGGCGGUGGCGGCUCCCAGGCCCAGCCUGGAGCGUCCACCCUCCUCUCCUUCGACGUGACGAGCGGCGAGUACAGCGUCAUCGACGGCCCGCCGUGCCGGUGGAGGUGCCAGGACGUGGCGCUGGGCAACGUGGGCGGCGCGCUGUGCGUCGUCGUGACGUGGAACAGCCGGCUAGGCACGGUGUGGCGGCGCACGGCGGCGGGGACGUGGACGCAGGUCCUCAGGUUGGACACGGGCUACAUACUGCAUGCGCGCCUGGCCCCGGUGGGGAUGUGCGAGAGCACGGGGGAGAUGCUGCUGCUCGCGGCCCGAUGCAUGUACCGGAAAGGCACGGUGUACCACUGCUGCAUCGCCGGCACCGGAAGCGGAAAGGCGCGCGCGGUGGUCGACGUUAGAGGGCAGCUUAAACUCUGCGAACGUGACUCCGUCGCCGGGACGCUCGUGUUCAUGUACACGCCGUCCCUGAUAAAGAUUGCUGGUUGAUUAAAACGCUUUCAAUUAGCAUGUCAUAGGCUUUUUUGUUAGAACUGGCAUGUCAUAGGCUAGGCUAGUCCAUGCGGAUCCUUUUUCUUUCGAGAGUACGUCAAUGACGUACCUUAUCUUUAUAAAAGAGAGCAAACAUAUUUACAAUGCUUGGAGGAGAUGCGAGCAUUCCUCAAGUCAUUACACAUACCUAUGUCCAACGUCCUCAUUUUAAGGCUACUCUCUCACAAAACGUUGUAAACCACCCACACCUACUCCUGCACUCCGCCAUUCCUCUAUCUCUUGCAAGAUCAUGUGCUUGAGGUUUUGCAUUGUCUGGACUUGAUUUGCCGAGUUGAACACCCCAUCCGGACCUUUUAAGAUGCACGUCUAUUAGAUUGGUGCUGUUCUUUGGAACAUGGGGUCAAUGCACCCCGAAUUCGAAAAUUAUUUUAAAAUAAAUAGAAAACAGUAUAAACUUCCUGAAACUUUUUUUUAACAAACAUGGCCUAGUGUAUUACUCGUGUAAAAAGUUUCGCGGAAGAAUGACUCUCAUGGUAUCCUCAACAAAAAAAAAGAAUUUUGAAGUCCAAAAAAAUAUCAAUAUUAACUUUUAUAUAGUACUAGUUUUUUUAUGUGGGAAUACCAUGGUAGUCAUUCUUAAAAAAUGCUACACAUACCAAAGCUUCCCGCAUGUGCCUAAUGAUGUGUGAAUGGAUGAUGUAGUCCUCCGCAUCACCUUUGCCGGUAUACCUCCGCCUCAUCGAGCCACCAUGACAGAGACAAUGCCGCCUGCUUCAUCGCCGCCGCCACGGUGGCCGCCUCCUCGCACUUGGUCUCGGGGAUGGACGCGACCUCCUCGCCAGGUAGCGGCACGGCUCGUCGAAGUCGUGUGUGAGGGAAUCCUGAAUUAUGGGGUCCUCGGGUAGUCGGCUUAUGUUACAUGGGUCGGACUAAUGGGCCGUGAAGAUACAAGACAGAAGGCCCUUCCUCGUGUCCGGAUGGAACUCUCCUUUGCGUGGAUGGCAAGCUUGGCGUUCGGAUAAUGUAUUUUCCUUUCUCUGUAAACCGACUAUGUACAACCCUAGGCCCCUCCGGUGUCUAUAUAAACCGAAGGGUUUAGUCCGUAGUGGAAGAAUCACAAUCAUACAGGCUAGAUAUCUAGGGUUUAGCCAUUACGAUCUCGAGGUAGAUUAACUCUUGUAACCCCUAUACUCAUCAAAGUCAAUCAAGCAGGAAGUAUGAUAUUACCUCCAUUAAGAGAGCCUGAACCUGGGUAAAUAUUGUGUCCCCUGCCUCCUGUUACCUUCGGUCCUCAGACGCACAGUUCGGGACCCCCUACCCGAGAUCUACCGAUUUUGACACCGACAUUAGUGCUUUCAAUGAGAGUUCCGCUGUGCCGUCACUAGAAGGCUCGAUGGCUCCGCCGAUCAUCUAUGACAAUACCGCCUCGAGGGAGAUCUCCCCCCCCCCCCAACCAAAUUUUCGUAUUCGGCGGCUUCACACUGCGCGCCAACUCGAUUGGCCAUCUGGAGCAGAUCGACAGCUAUGCCCCUGGUCAUCAGACCAGUUUCGGAAACCUAAAUUAUGUCGCUGAUAUCCGAGGAGACUUGAUCUUCCAAGGGUUCGCGGCCCCAACCACCGCUCUGGCCUUAGAUCCGAAGCGCAUUCCCGGGUCCGAAGACGGGAGUUUAGAGCCCGCCGGACUCUCUUCAGCUAUAGAGCUUGAUAUCGGAGAACCAGAGGGGAUCGCAUCACCGGCGGGCUCGGAGCCACGCCAGGCUCCCUUUAUCAUCAUAAAGCCGGAUUCUCCUCCGUACACUAGCUUCGAACUCUCGAGGUCCGCGUCAUGUGAGCUUGGCCAGGGAACUUCUGCCCCGCCUGAGGGAGUCCUGAAUUAUGGGGUCCUCGGGGAGCCAACCUAUGUGACGUGGGCCAGACUAAUGGGCCACGGAGAUACAAGAACAGAAGGCCUCCUCCCGUGUCCGGAUGAGACUCUCAUUUGCGUGGAUGGCAAGCUUGGCGUCCGGAUGUAUAGUUUCCUUCCUUUGUAAACCGACUUGGAACACCCUCAGUCCCCUCCGGUGUCUAUAUAAACCAGAGGGUUUAGUCCAUAGGGACAAUCACAACCAUACAUGCUAAACAUCUAGGGUUUAGCCAUUACGAUCUCGAGGUAGAUCAAUUCUUGUAACCUCUAUAUUCAUCAUAGUCAAUCAAGUAGGAAGUAGGGUAUUACCUCCAUUAAGAGGGCCCGAACCUGGGUAAACAUCGCGUCCCCUGCCUCCUUGUUACCUUCGAUCCUUAGACGCACAGUUUGGGACCCCCUACCCGAGAUCUGCCGUUUUUUACACCGAUAUUGGUGCUUUCAUUGAGAGUUUCUCUGUGCCGUCGACAGAAGUAUUGAUGGCCCGCCUUGUCAUCAAAGACAACAUCACUUCUGAAGAGGCCCUGGUUUCAGGGCAAACUCUCUGACUCAGCAGCUUCAUUAUGGGCGCUCGCCCGACUGUUAAGCCAGAAGCAGCCCAAUUCAUCGCCAAAAAUCGCCUCCGUAUCGGCCUUGAAUACUACGACAAGUUGUAUCUGGCAGAUGUUUCGGCAGAACUGCUAGAUCGCAUCGCCGCCCUGGGGGUCGCAAUCGACUAUGACCGGAUUGGGCUUAAACCCGAUCAGAGAGAAAUCAGAUCUCCGCCGAUCACCCAUCACGUGGCAAUCAUGGAGGAACAAGCCGACGAUGACUCUUCUCCCUCGUUGAGGACAAAGUAUGUUUAGGUUUCCGAACCCGGAGAGCCAGACUCCCGUCUUCUGGAAGACACUUCUUGUCCUCCAAACAUGGAAUCGGGCGCUGAGCCUAAAAACACGUCGGAUGCUCCAGAGCCCAGGCCUUUAACCUCGGAAAUUCUUUGGAAUCCGGACUCCUCAGCGGGUCAGGGUUCGGAUUCGAUCCCACCCACCCACCACAAGCAAUAUUCCCCGAGCAACUAUGGUCCUUCGGACAUAUGCGACUUAAUGUAUGUACGGCAGCAGCCCCAGGAAACAGUCCACCACUUUUGGGCUAGAUUCCUGCUUGUUAAAAACAAGAUCAAGGACUGCUGCGACAACGAUGCGAUCUCAGUAUUUUGCAACAAUUGCACAUAUGAGGGAAUCCUGAACGCCCUCAACCGCCAUCGUGUACUGCACUUUGCCGAUUUGGCACACAUAGUACAGAAGUACUAUGCAAUGGAAAGCGCCUGGAAAACCCAAACAGCCCGCUGGGAACCGCAGGCCUUUAGGCCAUCCCCGGGACGGGCAAUGAGGAUGCACCCCCACGGAGCACCUAAUCAUCAUCCCAUGGACAAGAAAAUUAAACCCUUUACGGGGCAUAAAACUGUCCUUGAGGAAUGGCUCGACAAACCUUGCCAAAUUCACAUGACACCGGACAACGAACCAACGCAUAGCCUUCGAGCAUGUUGGAUACUCCGGCAGGUGGCCAAAAGCGGCAAGGGUCUCCUCACUAACAACACUCCAGAGAACUAUUCUUUGGAGGACAAUGAUCCCAAAGUAUUCACGGUCUUCGAGACCUUUCCAUCGAAUAAUCGGCGCAAGAGAGCGCUCCGCGACCUCGCCGAAGUCUACCACGCGGCAGCAGUAAACCCUUGGAACGACACGCCUAUCACUUUUAACGCCGAUGACGAACCAAGAGCCCGCUCAGUCCGGGCACCAGCCACUUUGGUCCUAAACCCAAUUGUAGAUGGCUUCCGCCUCACUAAAGUGCUCAUGUUUGGCGACAACGGACUGAACCUCAUUUACGAGGACACACUCAAUAAAAUGCAAAUGUACAGGAGUAGCAUUGAGCAAAGUAACACAACCUUUCACGAUAUUAUCUCCAUCCGAGAAGCCAGAUGCUCGGGAAAUAUCAAACUCGAUGUGGUAUUUGGCACGCCGGAGAAUUAUAGGUCUGAAGAGCUACUCUUCCAUGUUCCACCAUUUAAUAGCAGGUAUCAUGCUCUGCUGGGGCAAGACGCAUUCACACGCUUCCAAGUUGUACCCCAUUACGGGUAUAUGAAGCUCAAAAUACCCGAGCCCAAUGGAAUCAUCACUAUAGCCAGCGAUCCAGACAUAGCCCUCCGAGCCAAAAACAAAAUUGCAUCUCUAGCCCUUGAGGCGUCAUCCGAGGCCCUCGCGGCCGAGGAAUUGACCACUCUAUGUUCCACAGUAGACAGGGACAUUGUAAUCCUCGAUAAGAGACCAAAGUCUACCUCCUUCAAGCUGGCUGACGAGAUAGUCAAAUUUCAAGUCCACCCGACGGACCCCAAUAAAACAACUUCCAUUGGGGCACAUCUGGAUCCGACGGUGGACGUUGCAUUACGCGCAUUCUUGCCAGGUAUCCCACGAAGACUAGUCGAACAUAGUCUCAAUAUAUUGAAAGGACACAAACCAGUCAAACAAACUCUUCGUCGAUUCUCCGAACCCAAACGACAAGCCAUGGGGGAGGAGCUAGCCAAGUUACUCGAAGUCGGGUUCAUCAGAGAGAUCAAACAUCUGGACUAGCUAGCAAACCUGGUCAUGGUACCUAAGAAGGAUAAAUCCUGGCGCCUGUGUGUCGAUUUCAAAGACCUUAACAAGGCUUGCCCCAAGGACCCCUUCCCACUACCUCGAAUCGACCAAAUUAUCAACGCACACUACAAAAAAAAUACACAUCCGUGAUGAUACGUGUUUGUCACAGUAGGUCGCGUUUUUUGUCAUGCAUGUACAUCCAUGACGAUUUUAUGACAGAAUCAAGAUAGUCAUACUUGUGCUGUCGUAGAAGUGUUCCAUGACAUUACCAAAAUUAUCAUCACGGAAGUUCCACUUCCAUGAUGAUAAAUCGCGCGUCACAAAAGUGCUUUCGUCAAGGGUGACCGACACGUGGUAUCCACCAUAACGGAACGCCGCUAAGCUAUCGGGUCAGGUUUUGGAUCCGAUAACCCAUUAACAGCCCCGACCAAUGGGGAUUUUCCACGUGUAAAAUCAUCAUUGGCUGGAGGAAACACGUGUCGGCUCAUCAUUGGGACAGAUGUCAUCCACUCAUUGGACGGAAGGCGCCUAUGAUACGUCGACAUGUGGCACGACCCAACAGAGGCCCAUUCCUGUGAAAAGGCCGGCCCGUUUGACUUGGUCAAAAGGUGGCGGGCCGGCCCAUGGAAAGCCUGUUAACGGCCUGUUCGCAUAUAGCCCAUUUAUAUCCCGCUAACCCAAGGCCCGUUACGCCCUAUCCGAAUUAGGCCCAGUAGCGUCAUCUGGGCCACCCAAUAUGAUUCCAGCCCGUUUUUACUUCUGGCGCAUGUAUGGCCCAUGAAGUCUUUCGACCCAUAUGAGGCCCUAUGUAACUCUUGGCCUAUUAAUGGCCCGUGGUGAAACUGGCCCGUAAUGAACAGUGUAUCACUUUACACCCAUUAACGGCCCAUGGUGAAACUGGCCCGUAAUGAACAAUGUAUCACUUUAUACCCAUUAACGGCCCGUUAUUCCGUUGGGCCGUUUCCAGCCCAUGUUAUCUUUCGGCCUUCUCAGAGCCCAUUUAUUCUUGGGCUCAUUUCCAGCAUUCGUUUACUUACGGUCUGUUACUGUCAUUUUCUGCUUGUGGGCCAAAUUCAGCCCGUGGUUAUAGUCGGCCUGUUUGUGGUCCGUUAAUACGUUGGGCCGUUUUCAUAGCGUCAUCAAAUACGGCCUAUUAACGAUGGCCCGUUAUGGUCGGCCCAUGAACGGACGAUUCCAACUCUAGCCCUUUACGGCCAUAAUGUGGUUUGUUUGGCCCAUGUUUGGCUAAUCGAUCAUACGGCCCGUAUAAGGCCCAUUGAUGAUACGGCCUGUAGAAGGCCCAUUGUUUCUAUGGCCCGUAGAAGGCCCACUGUUUCUACGGCCAGUAGGAGGCCCAGUGUCACUACACUAAAUAUUAGCCCAUGGUUAUUGUGGCCUACUUUCAAAAAAUAGGUUAUUGCAGCCACUAGCAAAGCGCGGAAAAAAAACUGCAGUGACUACAAGAAAACAAAUAAACAAGGCAACAAGGAAAUAAAUAAGCAAGCAACUAACGCUAGGCUAUUACACAUAUUACAUCCACUGCGCAUCAAAGUUCGCCACCAUUGCAAAUAUAGGGAACAAAGCAGCAUAUCAUAUACACUGGUUGUCAAAGUUGGCGACCAACACAAAUAAACGCCGCAGCAAAACAAAUCCAGAACUGAAACCACUUCAGAAGAUCUCAAGAAACAAUAUCUUGGGUACCAUAAUGCUGGCAAGAUGCUUAGCAAGCUUAUUAACUUUCUCUUGUUUGGCGCUUAAAUCCUCCAGCGCUUGCUAUUGCACCAGAAAAUAUGCAUCUGAAUUCUGCAGGGACUUCCUCAGCCCUUCAGCUUCCUGUCGCAGCACAUCUGAUCGAUGUCUUUCAACUUGAAGUUGAGACUCAAGAAGAUGAACUGAUUCAGGCAGCGAGUUCGAAGAGCUUGUGCCAGCAGUAGUGGCCAGUAACUCGAACACUACAUCAAGACAUGACUUUUGGGUUCCCUCACUGUUGUCAAGAUAGUUUUUAUCAGCUUUCUGUUGGGGAACGUCGCAGAAAACAAAAAUUUUCCUACUCGUUUCACCAAGAUCAUCUAGGAGUUCAUCUAGCAACGAGUGAUUAGAUGCAUCUACAUACCUUUGUAGAUCGCGAGCGGAAGCGUUCAAAAGAACGGUGAUGAUGUAGUCGUACUCGACAUGAUCCAAAUCACCGAUGACCAGCGCCGAACGGACGGCACCUCCGCGUUCAACACACGUACGGAACAGCCACGUCUCCUCCUUCUUGAUCCAGCAAGGGAGGGAGGAGAGGUUGAGGGAGAUGGCACCAGCAGCAGCACGACGGCGUGGUGUUGAUGGAGCUGCAGUACUCCGGCAGAGCUUCGCUAAGCACUAUGGAGGUGGAGGAGGUGUUGGGGAGGGAGAAGGAGGCAACCAAAGGCCAAGGCGUUCAGGUAUAAAGUCCCUCCUCUCCCCCACUAUAUAUAGGAGGGCCAAGGGGGGGUGGCCGGCCCUAGGAGAUCCAAUCUCCUAGGGGGUGCGGCGGCCAAGGGGGGUUUCCCUCCCCCCCAAGGCACCUAGGAGGUGCCUUCCCCUCCUAGGACUCUUCCCCCUUCAAACCCUAGGCGCAUGGGCCUAUGUGGGGCUGGUGCCCUUGGCCCAUUAGGCCAAGGCGCACCCCCUACAGCCCAUGUGGCCCCCCCGGGACAGGUGGACCCACCCGGUGGACCCCCGGGCCCCUUCCGGUGGUCCCGGUACAAUACCGAUAACCCCGAAACUUGUCCCGAUGCCCGAAACAGGACUUCCCAUAUAUAAAUCUUUACCUCCGGACCAUUCCGGAACUCCUCGUGACGUCCGGGAUCUCAUCCGGGACUCCGAACAACAUUCGGGUUACUGCAUAUACAUAUCCCUACAACCCUAGCGUAAUUGAACCUUAAGUGUGUAGACCCUACGGGUUCGGGAGACAAGCAGACAUGACCGAGAUGACUCUCCGGUCAAUAACCAACAGCGGGAUCUGGAUACCCAUGUUGGCUCCCACAUGCUCCACGAUGAUCUCAUCGGAUGAACCACGAUGUCGAGGAUUCUAUCAACCCCGUAUGCUAUUCCCUUUGUCUAUCGAUAUGUUACUUGCCCGAGAUUCGAUCGUCGGUAUCCCAAUACCUCGUUCAAUCUCAUUACCGGCAAGUCACUUUACUCGUACCGUAAUGCAUGAUCCCGUGACCAGACACUUGGUCACUCUGAGCUCAUUAUGAUGAUGCAUUACUGAGUGGGCCCAGUGAUACCUCUCCGUCAUACGGAGUGACAAAUCCCAGUCUUGAUCCAUGUCACCCAACAGACACUUUCGGAGAUACCCGUAGUCUACCUUUAUAGUCACCCAGUUACGUUGUGACGUUUGGCAUACCCAAAGCACUCCUACGGUAUCCGGGAGUUACACGAUCUCAUGGUCUAAGGAAAAGAUACUUGACAUUGGAAAACUCUAGCAAACGAACUAUACGAUCUUGUGCUAUGUUUAGGAUUGGGUCUUGUCCAUCACAUCAUUCUCCUAAUGAUGUGAUCUCGUUAUCAAUGACAUCCAGUGUCCAUAGUCAGGAAACCAUGACUAUCUGUUGAUCAACGAGCUAGUCAACUAGAGGCUCACUAGGGACAUGUCGGUGUCUGUUAUUCACACAUGUAUUACGAUUUCCGAAUAACACAAUUAUAGCAUGAAUAAAGACAAUUAUCAUGAACAAGGAAAUAUAAUAAUAAUGCUUUUAUUAUUGCCUCUAGGGCAUAUUUCCAACAGUCUCCCACUUGCACUAGAGUCAAUAAUCUAGUUACAUUGUGAUGAAUCGAACACCCAUGGAAUUCUGGUGUUGAUCAUGUUUUGCUCUAGGGAGAGGUUUAGUCAACGGAUCUGCUACAUUCAGGUCCGUAUGUACUUUACAAAUCUCUAUGUCUCCAUCUUGAACAUUUUCACGAAUGGAGUUGAAGCGACGCUUGAUGUGCCUUGUCUUCUUGUGAAACCUGGGCUCCUUGGCAAGUGCAAUAGCUCCAGUGUUGUCACAGAAGAGCUUGAUCGACCCCGACGCAUUGGGUAUGACUCCUAGGUCGGUGAUGAACUCCUUCACCCAUAUUGCUUCAUGUGCUGCCUCCGAGGCUGCCAUGUACUCCGCUUCACAUGUAGAUCCCGCCACGACGCUUUGCUUGCAACUGCACCAGCUUACUGCCCCACCAUUCAAAAUAUACACGUAUCCGGUUUGUGACUUAGAGUCAUCCAGAUCUGUGUCGAAGCUAGCGUCGACGUAACCCUUUACGACGAGCUCUUCGUCACCUCCAUAAACGAGAAACAUUUCCUUAGUCCUUUUCAGGUACUUCAGGAUAUUCUUGACCGCUGUCCAGUGUUCCUUGCCGGGAUUACUUUGGUACCUUCCUACCAAACUUACGGCAAGGUUUACAUCAGGUCUGGUACACAGCAUGGCAUACAUAAUAGAACCUAUGGCUGAGGCAUAGGGGAUGACGCUCAUCUCCUCUAUAUCUUCUGCCGUGGUCGGACAUUGAGCUGAGCUCAAUUUCAUACCUUGUAACACAGGCAAGAACCCCUUCUUGGAUUGAUUCAUAUUGAACUUCUUCAAUAUCUUACCAAGGUAUGUGCUUUGUGAAAGACCUAUGAGGCGUCUCGAUCUAUCUCUAUAGAUUUUGAUGCCUAAUAUAUAAGCAGCUUCUCCAAGGUCCUUCAUUGAAAAACUUUUAUUCAAGUAGGCCUUGAUGUUGUCCAAGAGUUCUAUAUCAUUUCCCAUCAAAAGUAUGUCAUCUACAUAUAAUAUGAGAAAUGCUACAGAGCUCCCACUCACUUUCUUGUAAACGCAGGCUUCUCCAUAAGUCUGUGUAAACCCAAACGCUUUGAUCAUCUCAUCAAAGCGAAUGUUCCAACUCCGAGAUGCUUGCACCAGCCCAUAAAUCGAGCGUUGGAGCUUGCACACUUUGUCAGCAUUCUUAGGAUCGACAAAACCUUCCGGCUGCAUCAUAUACAAUUCUUCCUUAAGGAAACCAUUAAGGAAUGCCGUUUUGACGUCCAUUUGCCAUAUCUCGUAAUCAUAGAAUGCGGCAAUUGCUAACAUGAUUCGGACAGACUUCAGCUUCGCUACCGGUGAGAAAGUCUCAUCAUAGUCAACCCCUUGAACUUGUCGAUAACCCUUAGCGACAAGCCGAGCUUUAUAGAUGGUCACAUUACCAUCCGCGUCUGUCUUCCUCUUAAAGAUCCAUUUAUUUUCUAUGGCUCGCCGCUCAACGGGCAAGUCAGUCAAAGUCCAUACUUUGUUUUCAUACAUGGAUCCUAUCUCGGAUUUCAUGGCUUCCAGCCAUUUGUCGGAAUCCGGGCCCGCCAUCGCUUCUUCAUAGUUCGAAGGUUCACCAUUGUCUAACAGCAUGAUUUCCAAGACAGGGUUGCCGUACCACUCUGGUGCGGAACGUGUCCUUGUGGACCUUCGAAUUUCAGUAGGGGCUUGAUCAGAAGUAACUUGAUCAUUUUCAUUAACUUCCUCUCUAGUCGGUGCAGGCACCUCAGGAACAUUUUCUUGAGUUGCGCCAUUUCCCGGUUCAAGAGGUAAUACUUCAUCAAGCUCUACUUUCCUCCCACUUACUUCUUUCGAGAGAAACUCUUUCUCCAGAAAGGACCCAUUCUUGGCAACAAAGAUCUUGCCUUCGGAUCUGAGGUAGAAGGUGUACCCAAUAGUUUCUUUUGGGUAUCCUAUGAAGACGCAUUUUUCCGACUUGGGUUCGAGCUUUUGCGGUUGAAGUUUCUUGACAUAAGCAUCGCAUCCCCAAACUUUUAGAAACGACAGCUUAGGUUUCUUCCCAAACCAUAAUUCAUACGGUGUCGUCUCAACGGAUUUCGACGGAGCCCUAUUUAAAGUGAAUGCGGCAGUCUCUAAAGCAUAGCCCCAAAAAGAAAGCGGUAAAUCGGUAAGAGACAUCAUAGAUCGCACCAUAUCUAACAGAGUGCGAUUACGACGUUCGGACACACCAUUACGCUGAGGUGUUCCAGGCGGCGUGAGUUGUGAAACUAUUCCACAUUUUCUUAAGUGUGCCCCAAACUCGUGACUCAAGUAUUCUCCUCCACGAUCUGAUCGUAGAAACUUGAUUUUCCUGUCACGUUGAUUUUCAACCUCACUCUGAAAUUCCUUGAACUUUUCAAAGGUUUCAGACUUGUGUUUCAUUAAGUAGAUAUACCCAUACCUACUUAAAUCAUCAGUGAGGGUGAGAACAUAACGAUAGCCACCGCGAGCCUCAACACUCAUCGGACCGCACACAUCAGUAUGUAUGAUUUCCAAUAAGUCGGUUGCUCGCUCCAUUGUUCCUGAGAACGGAGUCUUGGUCAUUUUACCCAUAAGGCAUGGUUCGCACGUGUCAAAUGAUUCAUAAUCAAGAGACUCUAAAAGUCCAUCAGCAUGGAGCUUCUUCAUGCGUUUGACACUUAUGUGACCAAGGCGGUAGUGCCACAAGUAUGUGGGACUAUCAUUAUCAACCUUACUUCUUUUGGUACUCACAUUAUGAACAUGUGUAGCAUCACGUUCGAGAUUCAUAAAGAAUAAACCAUUCACCAUAGGAGCAUGACCAUAAAACAUAUCUCUCAUAAAAAUGGAACAACCAUUAUUCUCAGAUUUAAAAGAGUAGCCAUCUCGAAUUAAACGAGAUCCCGAUACAAUGUUCAUGCUCAAAGCUGGCACUAAAUAACAAUUAUUAAGGUUUAAAACUAAUCCCGAAGGGAGAUGCAGAGGUAGCGUGCCGACGGCGAUCACAUUGACCUUGGAACCAUUCCCGACGCGCAUCGUCACCUCGUCCUUUGCCAGUUUCCGCUUAUUCCGCAGCCCCUGCUUUGAGUUACAAAUAUGAGCAACUGCACCGGUAUCAAAUACCCAGGAGCCACUACGGGCACUAGUAAGGUACACAUCAAUUACAUGUAUAUCACAUAUACCUUUUGUUUUGCCGGCCUUCUUAUCCGCUAAGUACUUAGGGCAGUUCCGCUUCGAGUGACCGCUUCCCUUGCAAUAAAAGCACUCAGUCUCGGGCUUGGGUCCAUUCUUUGGGUUCUUCCUGGCAGCUUGCUUGCCGGGCGCGGCAACCUCCUUGCCGUCCUUCUUGAAGUUCUUUUUACCCUUGCCUUUCUUGAACUUAGUGGUUUUAUUGACCAUCAACACUUGAUGUUCCUUCCUGACUUCUACCUCUGCUGAUUUCAGCAUAGCAAAUACUUCAGGAAUGGUCUUUUCCAUCCCCUGCAUAUUGAAGUUCAUCACAAAGCUCUUGUAGCUUGGUGGAAGUGACUGGAGGAUUCUGUCAAUGACCGCAUCAUCCGAGAGAUUAACUCCUAGCUGAGUCAAGCGGUUAUGCAACCCAGACAUAGUGAGUAUGUGCUCACUGACAGAACUGUUUCCCUCCAUCUUACAACUGAAGAAUUUGUCGGAGACUUCAUAUCUCUCGACCCGGGCAUGAGCUUGGAAAACCAUUUUCAGCUCUUCGAACAUCUCAUAUGCUCCAUGUCUCUCAAAACGCUUUUGGAGCCCCGGCUCUAAGCUGUAAAGCAUGCCGCACUGAACGAGGGAGUAGUCAUCGAAACGUGCCUGCCAAGCGUUCAUAACAUCUUGUUCUGCAGGGAGAACGGGUGCGUCACCAAGCGGUGCUUGUAGGACAUAAUCUUUCUUGGCAGCUAUGAGGAUGAUCCUCAGGUUCCGGACCCAGUCCGUAUAGUUGCUGCCAUUGUCUUUCAGCUUAGUUUUCUCUAGGAACGCGUUGAAGUUGAGGACUACGUUGGCCAUUUGAUCUACAAGACAUAUUGCAAAUAUUUUAGACUAAGUUCAUGAUAAUUAAGUUCAACUAAUCAAAUUAUUAGUGAACUCCCACUUAGAUUAGACAUCCCUCUAGUCAUCUAAGUAUUACAUGAUCCGAGUUAAACUAGUCCGUGUCCGAUCAUCACGUGAGACGGACUAGUCAACAUCGGUGAACAUCUUCAUGUUGAUCGUAUCUUCUAUACGACUCAUGCUCGACCUUUCGGUCUUCUGUGUUCCGAGGCCAUGUCUGUACAUGCUAGGCUCGUCAAGUCAACCUAAGUGUUUGCAUGUGUAAAUCUGUCUUACACCCGUUGUAUGUGAACGUCUGAAUAAAACACCCGAUCAUCACGUGGUGUUUUGAAACAGCGAACUGUCGCAAUGGUGCACAGUUAGGGGGAACACUUCUUGAAUUUAUUGUGAGGGAUCAUCUUAUUUACUACCGUCGUUCUAAGUAAACAAGAUGCAAAACAUGAUAAACAUCACAUGCAAUCAAAUAAUAAACGUGACAUGAUAUGGCCAAUAUCACAUAGCUCCUUUGAUCUCCAUCUUGGGGCUCCAUGAUCAUCUUGUCACCGGCUUGACACCAUGAUCUCCAUCAUCAUGAUCUCCAUCAUCGAGUCUCCAUGAAGUUGCUCGCCAACUAUUACUUCUACUACUAUGGCUAACGCGUUUAGCAAUAAAGUAAAGUAAUUUACAUGGCGUUUCUCGAUGACACGCAGGUCAUUAAAAGAAUAAAGACAACUCCUAUGGCUCCUGCCGGUUGUCAUACUCAUCGACAUGCAAGUCGUGAAUCCUAUUACAAUAGCAUGAACAUCUCAUACAUCACAUAUAGAUCAUUCAUCAUUCAUCACAACUUUGGCCAUAUCAUAUCACAAACCACUUGCUGCAAAAACAAGUUAGACGUCCUCUAAUUGUUGUUGCAAGUUUUACGUGGCUGAAUUAGGGUUCUAGCAAGAACGUCUUCUUACCUACGUUAAAGCCACAACGUGAUUUGUCAACUUCUAUUUACCCUUCAUAAGGACCCUGUUCAUCGAUUCCGCUCCAACUAAAGUGGGAGAGACAGACACCCGCCAGCCACCUUAUGCAACUAGUGCAUGUUAGUCGGUGGAACCGGUCUCACGUAAGCGUACGUGUAAGGUUGGUCCGGGCCGCUUCAUCCCACAAUACCGCUGAAGCAAGAAAGGACUAGUAACAGCAAGAAAGUUGACAAAUCUACGCCCACAACAAAUUGUGUUCUACUCGCGCAAGAAGAACUACGCAUAGACCUAGCUCAUGAUGCCACUGUUGGGGAACGUUGCAGAAAACAAAAAUUUUCCUACUCGUUUCACCAAGAUCAUCUAGGAGUUCAUCUAGCAACGAGUGAUUAGAUGCAUCUACAUACCUUUGUAGAUCGCGAGCGGAAGCGUUCAAAAGAACGGUGAUGAUGUAGUCGUACUCGACGUGAUCCAAAUCACCGAUGACCAGCGCCGAACGGACGGCACCUCCGCGUUCAACACACGUACGGAACAGCCACAUCUCCUUCUUGAUCCAGCAAGGGAGGGAGGAGAGGUUGAGGGAGAUGGCACCAGCAGCAGCACGACGGCGUGGUGUUGAUGGAGCUGCAGUACUCCGGCAGAGCUUCGCUAAGCACUAUGGAGGUGGAGGAGGUGUUGGGGAGGGAGAAGGAGGCAACCAAAGGCCAAGGCGUUCAGGUAUAAAGUCCCUCCUCUCCCCCACUAUAUAUAGGAGGGCCAAGGGGGGGUGGCUGGCCCUAGGAGAUCCAAUCUCCUAGGGGGUGCGGCGGCCAAGGGGGGUUUCCCUCCCCCCCAAGGCACCUAGGAGGUGCCUUCCCCUCCUAGGACUCUUCCCCCUUCAAACCCUAGGCGCAUGGGCCUAUGUGGGGCUGGUGCCCUUGGCCCAUUAGGCCAAGGCGCACCCCCUACAGCCCAUGUGGCCCCCCCGGGACAGGUGGACCCACCCGGUGGACCCCCGGGACCCUUCCGGUGGUCCCGGUACAAUACCGAUAACCCCGAAACUUGUCCCGAUGCCCGAAACAGGACUUCCCAUAUAUAAAUCUUUACCUCCGGACCAUUCCGGAACUCCUCGUGACGUCCGGGAUCUCAUCCGGGACUCCGAACAACAUUCGGGUUACUGCAUAUACAUAUCCCUACAACCCUAGCGUAACUGAACCUUAAGUGUGUAGACCCUACGGGUUCGGGAGACAAGCAGACAUGACCGAGAUGACUCUCCGGUCAAUAACCAACAGAUGAUCUCGAUACCCAUGUUGGCUCCCACAUGCUCCACGAUGAUCUCAUCGGAUGAACCACGAUGUCGAGGAUUCUAUCAACCCCGUAUGCUAUUCCCUUUGUCUAUCGAUAUGUUACUUGCCCGAGAUUCGAUCGUCGGUAUCCCAAUACCUCGUUCAAUCUCGUUACCGGCAAGUCACUUUACUCGUACCGUAAUGCAUGAUCCCGUGACCAGACACUUGGUCACUCUGAGCUCAUUAUGAUGAUGCAUUACCGAGUGGGCCCAGUGAUACCUCUCCGUCAUACGGAGUGACAAAUCCCAGUCUUGAUCCAUGUCACCCAACAGACACUUUCGGAGAUACCCGUAGUCUACCUUUAUAGUCACCCAGUUACGUUGUGACGUUUGGCAUACCCAAAGCACUCCUACGGUAUCCGGGAGUUACACGAUCUCAUGGUCUAAGGAAAAGAUACUUUGACAUUGCAAAACUCUAGCAAACGAACUAUACGAUCUUGUGCUAUGUUUAGGAUUGGGUCUCGUCCAUCACAUCAUUCUCCCAAUGAUGUGAUCUCGUUAUCAAUGACAUCCAGUGUCCAUAGUAAGGAAACCAUGACUAUCUGUUGAUCAACGAGCUAGUCAACUAGAGGCUCACUAGGGACAUGUUGGUGUCUGUUAUUCACACAUGCAUUACGAUUUCCGGAUAACACAAUUAUAGCAUGAAUAAAGACAAUUAUCAUGAACAAGGAAAUAUAAUAAUAAUGCUUUUAUUAUUGCCUCUAGGGCAUAUUUCCAACAGUCUCCCACUUGCACUAGAGUCAAUAAUCUAGUUACAUUGUGAUGAAUCGAACACCCAUGGAAUUCUGGUGUUGAUCAUGUUUUGCUCUAGGGAGAGGUUUAGUCAACGGAUCUGCUACAUUCAGGUCCGUAUGUACUUUACAAAUCUCUAUGUCUCCAUCUUGAACAUUUUCACGAAUGGAGUUGAAGCGACGCUUGAUGUGCCUUGUCUUCUUGUGCUGCCUCCGAGGCUGCCAUGUACUCCGCUUCACAUGUAGAUCCCGCCACGACGCUCUGCUUGCAACUGCACCAGCUUACUGCCCCACCAUUCAAAAUAUACACGUAUCCGGUUUGUGACUUAGAGUCAUCCAGAUCUGUGUCGAAGCUAGCGUCGACGUAACCCUUUACGACGAGCUCUUCGUCACCUCCAUAAACGAGAAACAUUUCCUUAGUCCUUUUCAGGUACUUCAGGAUAUUCUUGACCGCUGUCCAGUGUUCCUUGCCGGGAUUACUUUGGUACCUUCCUACCAAACUGACGGCAAGGUUAACAUCAGGUCUGGUACACAGCAUGGCAUACAUAAUAGAACCUAUGGCUGAGGCAUAGGGGAUGACGCUCAUCUCUUCUAUAUCUUCUGCCGUGGUCGGACAUUGAGCUGAGCUCAAUUUCAUACCUUGCAACACAGGCAAGAACCCUUUCUUGGAUUGAUCCAUAUUGAACUUUUUCAAUAUCUUAUCAAGGUAUGUGCUUUGUGAAAGACCUAUGAGGCGUCUUGAUCUAUCUCUAUAGAUUUUGAUGCCUAAUAUAUAAGCAGCUUCUCCAAGGUCCUUCAUUGAAAAACUUUUAUUCAAGUAGGCCUUGAUGCUGUCCAAGAGUUCUAUAUCAUUUCCCAUCAAAAGUAUGUCAUCUACAUAUAAUAUGAGAAAUGCUACAGAGCUCCCACUCACUUUCUUGUAAACGCAGGCUUCUCCAUAAGUCUGUGUAAACCCAAACGCUUUGAUCAUCUCAUCAAAGCGAAUGUUCCAACUCCGAGAUGCUUGCACCAGCCCAUAAAUCGAGCGUUGGAGCUUGCACACUUUGUCAGCAUUCUUAGGAUCGACAAAACCUUCCGGCUGCAUCAUAUACAAUUCUUCAUUAAGGAAUGCCGUUUUGACGUCCAUUUGCCAUAUUUCGUAAUCAUAGAAUGCGGCAAUUGCUAACAUGAUUCGGACGGACUUCAGCUUCGCUACCGGUGAGAAAGUCUCAUCGUAGUCAACCCCUUGAACUUGUCGAUAACCCUUAGCGACAAGCCGAGCUUUAUAGAUGGUCACAUUACCAUCCGCGUCUGUCUUCUUCUUAAAGAUCCAUUUAUUUUCUAUGGCUCGCCGUUCUACGGGCAAGUCAGUCAAAGUCCAUACUUUGUUUUCAUACAUGGAUCCUAUCUCGGAUUUCAUGGCUUCUAGCCAUUUGUCGGAAUCCGGACCCGCCAUCGCUUCUUCAUAGUUCGAAGGUUCACCGUUGUCUAACAACAUGAUUUCCAAGACAGGGUUGCCGUACCACUCUGGUGCGGAACGUGUCCUCGUGGACCUUCGAAUUUCAGUAGGAGCUUGAUCAGAAGUAUCUUGAUCAUUAUCAUUAACUUCCUCUCUAGUCGGUGUAGGCACCUCAGGAACAUUUUCUUGAGUUGUGCCAUUUUCCGGUUCAAGAGGUAAUACUUCAUCAAGCUCUACUUUCCUCCCACUUACUUCUUUCGAGAGAAACUCUUUCUCCAGAAAGGACCCAUUCUUGGCAACAAAGAUCUUGCCUUCGGAUCUGAGGUAGAAGAUAUACCCAACAGUUUCUUUAGGGUAUCCUAUGAAGACGCAUUUUUCCGAUUUGGGUUCGAGCUUUUCAGGUUGAAGUUUCCUGACAUAAGCAUCGCAUCCCCAAACUUUUAGAAAUGACAGCUUAGGUUUCUUCCCAAACCAUAAUUCAUACGGUGUCGUCUCAACGGAUUUCGACGGGGCCCUAUUUAAAGUGAAUGCGGCAGUCUCUAAAGCAUAGCCCCAAAAAGAUAGUGGUAAAUCGGCAAGAGACAUCAUAGAUCGCACCAUAUCUAAUAGAGUGCGCUUACGACGUUCGGACACACCAUUACGCUGAGGUGUUCCAGGCGGCGUGAGUUGUGAAACUAUUCCACAUUUUCUUAAGUGUGUACCAAACUCGUGACUCAAGUAUUCUCCUCCACGAUCUGAUCGUAGAAACUUGAUUUUCCUGUCACGUUGAUUCUCAACUUCACUCUGAAAUUCCUUGAACUUUUCAAAGGUCUCAGACUUGUGUUUCAUUAAGUAGACAUACCCAUAUCUACUCAAGUCAUCAGUGAGGGUGAGAACAUAACGAUAGCCACCGCGAGCCUCAACACUCAUUGGACCGCACACAUCAGUAUGUAUGAUUUCCAAUAAGUUGGUUGCUCUCUCCAUUGUUCCUGAGAAUGGAGUCUUGGUCAUUUUACCCAUGAGGCAUGGUUCGCACGUGUCAAAUGAUUCGUAAUCAAGAGACUCUAAAAGUCCAUCAGCAUGGAGCUUCUUCAUGCGUGGUGUUGUUGGAGCUGCAGUACUCCGGCAGAGCUUCGCUAAGCAAUAAGGAGGUGGAGGAGGUGUUGGGGAGGGAGAAGGAGGCAACCAAAGGCCAAGGACUCAAGGUAUGAAGUCCCUCCUCUCCCCCACUAUAUAUAGGGGUGCCAAGGGGGGGGUGGCCGGCCCUAGGAGAUCCAAUCUCCUAGGGGGUGCGGCGGCCAAGGGGGGUUUCCCUCCCCCCCAAGGCACCUAGGAGGUGCCUUACCCUCCUAGGACUCUUUCCCCCUUAAACCCUAGGCGCAUGGGCCUAUGUGGGGCUGGUGCCCUUGGCCCAAGCAGGCCAAGGCGCACCCCCUACAGCCCAUGUGGCCCCCGGGGAUGGGUGGCCCCACCCGGUGGGCCCCCCGGACCCCUCCUGUGGUCCCGGUACAAUACCGAUAACCCCGAAACUUGUCCCGAUGCCCGAAACAGGACUUCCCAUAUAUAAAUCUUUACCUCCGGACCAUUCCGGAACUCCUCGUGACGUCCGGGAUCUCAUCCGGGACUCCGAACAACAUUCGGGUUACUGCAUAUACAUAUCCCUACAACCCUAGCGUAACUGAACCUUAAGUGUGUAGACCCUACGGGUUCGGGAGACAAGCAGACAUGACCGAGACGACUCUCUGGUCAAUAACCAACAGCGGGAUCUGGAUACCCAUGUUGGCUCCCACAUGCUCCACGAUGAUCUCAUCGAAUGAACCACGAUGUCGAGGAUUCAAUCAACCCCGUACGCUAUUCCCUUUGUCCAUCGAUAUGUUACUUGCCCGAGAUUCGAUCGUCGGUAUCCCAAUACCUCGUUCAAUCUCGUUACCGGCAAGUCACUUUACUCGUACCGUAAUGCAUGAUCCCGUGACCAGACACUUGGUCACUCUGAGCUCCUUAUGAUGAUGCAUUACCGAGUGGGCCCAGUGAUACCUCUCCGUCAUACGGAGUGACAAAUCCCAGUCUUGAUCCAUGUCACCCAACAGACACUUUCGGAGAUACCCGUAGUCUACCUUUAUAGUCACCCAGUUACGUUGUGACGUUUGGCAUACCCAAAGCACUCCUACGGUAUCCGGGAGUUACACGAUCUCAUGGUCUAAGGAAAAGAUACUUGACAUUGGAAAACUCUAGCAAACGAACUAUACGAUCUUGUGCUAUGUUUAGGAUUGGGUCUUGUCCAUCACAUCAUUCUCCUAAUGAUGUGAUCUCGUUAUCAAUGACAUCCAGUGUCCAUAGUCAGGAAACCAUGACUAUCUGUUGAUCAACGAGCUAGUCAACUAGAGGCUCACUAGGGACAUGUCGGUGUCUGUUAUUCACACAUGUAUUACGAUUUCCGGAUAACACAAUUAUAGCAUGAAUAAAGACAAUUAUCAUGAACAAGGAAAUAUAAUAAUAAUGCUUUUAUUAUUGCCUCUAGGGCAUAUUUCCAACACUUUCUUGUAGACCAACAGGGAUGUCUCACUAUCUUGAACCUUAUCUGCAUUACUUCCUUUACCAUUGGAUAACGCGGUACUGUUCUCCAAUAUUUUGUCCGCAUUCUAAAAGAGAAACAAGCAGACACAUCACAUGUUUACCAUGUUGUAUAUGAAACUCAUUUUGGUAAAUGAGUUCAGUAGUAAAGUGGACAGGAUAACUGCAUGAAACAAACAUAUAUCUAUGUACCAUGGUCACUUUAUGGUCUAUAUCAUUCUAGUUUUUUUUGCCAAAUCAAGAUAGAGACACAGUUCAAAUAAUAUUUGUUCAAGACAAAGCAGAAUAGACAGAAUAUAAGUGUGGGUAACUAUAGAGCAAUAACAACACUUGUAAUGUGCAUGACAUGAGAACAUAACUGUUUAUUCAAUUGAAACUGAAAUCAACAUAGAGCGGGUUACAAUAGCAAACCAGUUAAAGAAACAGGUUUAAAACAUACCUGUUGCGCCAUUGGAGUUUCAAUUCCAUCCUUCAAAUUUGAAAAUAGUUGGUAUGAGUAAAUACAGUAAUGCAAGAGCAAAGGAGUAUGAACCAUAGCUACAGAACCUGACCUGAGAACAAAUCUUCUUCUCCUUUAAGCAUUGAGUUGGGAUUCGGAGUGGUGGUCCUCGUGCUUUGGGCACUGCAGUUCCCUUACUAACUGCUCGUGUUUGGGUGCUCUGUGGUGGAGACGGUGUUGUGUCAACUGGAACUGGGUUACUAUCUGCCGGGGUUGGGGUUAGAAGGGGUGUAGCUAGUUCUCUGUACAACUAGGUAGGGGUACAAUCUGCGAGAGUCUGGGUUAUGUGUGGUGGAUCUGGUCCUUGGGAAAGUACAACCAUGGUUCUAUCUGCAUCAACUGGUAGCACUAUCUUUUCUGAAGACCGUGUUGUUACUCCCUUAGGUACUGCCAUCACGCUCUCCAAUUAAAAUGGCUGAUAAACAAGAAAAUUAAUUGAAAGUAUAGACAUUGUAUGAUAGACAGGUGCAAUGGAUAGUGGGGAAUAAAAGAGGGCAUGAAAUAAUUCAUAUUUAUGUUGUCUAACCAAACAGGAUAGCAUGACACAAUUUCACAUAUAUGAUGGCUAACUAAACAGGAUAGCAUGACACAAUUUCACAUUAUGAUGGCUAACUAAAAAAGAUGGAAAGACAUAGUUCAAAAUAUGAGAUUAUGUAAACAGGAUGACAUGACAUAACUAUAUAAUGUGUUUAUUAAAUAGGUUGGCAUGCCAUAAUUCACAUACAUUCACGGAUAGAAUGCCAUAAUUCAAAAUAUGAUGACUGUAAACACUAAACAGGAUGAGAUGAUAUAACUAUAUGAUGUCUUUAUUAAAUGGGUUGCCAUGCCAUAAUUCAGAUAGAUGAUGUGUAUGUACUAUGUAAACAUGAUGGCAUGAUAUAAUUCAAAUAUAUGAUUUAUAUAGUAAGCAAGUAAGCAGAUGGCAAUCCAUAUAUGAUGUAAAAACUAAGCAAUGCAAGACAACAUGCAUGACGUGGGUAAUAUAACCCUGCCAAGUUUGAGCAUAGACCUCAUGGGGGAAAUAGGACUGGUCAUCAGUCUCUGAAUCCUCCUCUAAGGAGCUCUCUGUAACCAGCAAGAUGUCUGCUUCAGCAUGUAGCAUUGUCUGUUCUGAAUACCUUGUUUUCACUCCAAAUACUUCCAUCACCGCUUCAAAUGGCUGAUGCACAGAAAGAGUAGUUGAAUAUACAAACGUUGUCGACAAAUGGAACACGUAAUACAAAAAAAUGAUAGCAUGAUAUAAUUCACAUACUUGAUGAUUGGCUAAACAACAUGGCAUUGCAUAAUUCACAUAUAUAAUGCCUUUGCAACAAGAUAACAUUGUAUAAUUCACAUAUAUAAUGUCUUGCAACAAGAUGGCAAUGCAUAAUUCACAUAUAUGGUAAUUAGACACUAAACAGGUGGCAUUCACACAAAGCAUGUCUAAACUAAUCAAAUGACAUAGCAAUGCGAGACACCAUACGUACGAUAUGAGCAACAUAACCCUGCCAAGUUAGAGCAUACACCUCGGGGGGGGGGGGGAAUAGGACUGGUCAUCUGUCUCUGAAUCCUCCUCUGAGGAGCUAUCCGUAACCAGCGAGAUAUGUGCUUCGUCAGAUAGCAUAGUCUGCUCUGAAGACCUUGUUUUCACUCCAGAAUUUGCCAUCACCGUGUCAAAUGGCUGAUGCACACGAAGAGCAGUUGAAUGUACUAACAUUGUUGACAAAUGUAAUAUGUAACGAAAAAAAGGAUGGCCUGAUAUAAUUUACAUAUAAGAUGACUGGCUAAGCAGGAUGGCAUUGCAAAAUUCACAUAUAUGAUGCCUAGCUAAACAAGAUGGUGUUGCAUAAUUCACAUAAACAAUGAAUAAACUAAACAGAUGGCAUUCACACAAAGGAUGUCUAAACUAAGCAGAUGACAUAUUUGAUGUAUAAAGUAAACUAAGCAGUUGUCUUCUCCUUUUGAAUCCCCCUCAGAACAGAUAUCUUCCUCUCGAUUACAAUUCGAAAUGCGUGGAGGGGGGCGGGGGCUGCCUUUGCGCCUACCAUGGAGCAACGUCUGCAUGAAAUUUUAUUGCCACGCAAGGCUCGUCUCUUUUGCUCUACAUGUUCACUUCCAUUGUUUACAAUAACUGUCAUGCAUAGGAAUAAAACAUAGUGAGAUUAUGUAAGGAGUGCAUGCAGAAAUCUAGAGUGAUGGUAGCAACCUGUGGAUAGACCCAAAACCAAUAAUAGCAGGCAGAUAAUGGCUUCAGUUAAAAAAUACAGAUAAUGGCUUCUUUACUGUUUGUUUCCCACCCAACAUGAAACUCAUAGUAGACACCGGAGAUUAACCAGAUAGUAGAUAGAUACUAUUGAUAGCGGCCCCGAUAUGUGCCCCACAACCAUUUAAAAACUCAAGUUUGACCAUUAGUUUGGAGCUGACUCAGAGUCUAAUCGGUGAACAACACGAUAAAGUAGCAUGUAAUAUUAAGCGAUGCAUAACGUAAGCAGACACGAAAGAGUGCGACCUCUCUUACGGACCCGUGUAGUCCUCGAGGUCAUCUACUCGGUUGAUGAUGGUAAUGCAGUUUUCAUGGCUGCCAGCGGCGGGGAAGAAGAUCUGAGGCGGCGAAAGACAGUCUGGAGGCCGGAUCCCUGCUGUGUUGGACCCUUCUGACGUUGGAGCAGCUGAGCUGGGGUGGACAACGGCGCAGCAGGAGCGGGACAAACCACUCAUGGUUUUCUUUGACAACUAUCUGUAAGAGAAGUAAUUCUGUAAGGGCUCGUUUGAAUUGGAGGAUUCCAGCAAUGCAUGGAUAGGAAAUAGACAGGAAUAGGAUAGGAAUGCAUGUGCAAAACAGAGAAUUUAAAAACACAUGAUUUCUGCCAAUCUGGGUGUUUGAUUCACAACAAUUGGAAGAUCACAGGAUGCAAAGAAGCAUGGUGCGAUUAAGUCAAACCACAAGAAAAUGUACGGUUAUAAUGCUAUUAUGCUACUAUCUCUUAGUCUUCUGCUUCAUGAAUAGGAAUUUGAAAAGGAGGACAAGUGAAAAUUAAAUUCCUACGUUUUUUCUUUCAAGGAGACACUAAAGGAACACAUCUGUGUGCUCAGUGGACAAUAUAUAAACAUGUAGAGUAAAAAAGAGAUACAACAAGUGUACAACCUCUUUGGCGAAGCCAUGUCGAUCUCAGCAUAAUUGGGUUGGCCGGUGAGGAUGCUCCGGCUGACUUUGCUGUCGGAGGAGGGGAAGAAGAUCUUAGGCGUCUGGAGAUGGAGCCCGAGGUAAUGCUCCGCUGUGAUGGAGGGUUUCGUAGUUGGAGCAGCUCCGGUGAGUUGUACGACGCCGAGGCUGAAGCAGGACAAGAGAGACAAUGAACAACGUUAACCUGAGUGGAAUUCUAACAGCAUCUCCAAUACAUGAUGUAAAAUACAUAACCACAAAGUGCUAUAUGUAAAAUACAUCAGCCGCUCAUCUCUGAACUUAACUGUCGAAACUGAACUUAACUGUCGAAACUGAAUUUUGCUGUCGAAACUGAAUUUUGCUGUCAAAACUGAAUGCACUAGCAAGGUGAGGCUACACGUAGGUCGACUAACCUUUUCAUCGCUGGUCAAUCGAUUUUGCAGCCGUUGGAUACGAAAUCAAGGGCCUGCUGUAACGCCUCGGAUCCGAUGCGCCAGGUGUCUGUCAGUUAUUCGCCGUUGUUUCCAUGUCAUUUGCUUGCGUGUUGCAUUUUAUCAUGUCAUCAUGUGCAUUUCAUUUUGCAUACGUGUUCGUCUCAGGCAUCCGAGCAUUUUCCCUGUUGUCCAUUUUGCAAUCCAGCACUCCUAUGCCCUCCGGCGUUCCCCUUUCGUCUCUCGUUGUGUGCGGGUGUUAAACUUUCUUGGAAUGGCCCGAGGUUUGCCAAGCGGCCUUGGUAUAGCACCGGUAGACCGCCUGUCAAGUUUCGUGCCAUUUGGAGGUCGUUUGAUACUCCAACGGUUAACCGGGUAACCGUAAAGCCCCUCUCUCUUUGCAGCCCAACACCCCUUCCAAAGUGGCCCAAAACCCAUCUAACUCCCCUCCAUGCUCUCGGUCGUUCGAUCACGAUCGUGUGGGCGAAAACCGCUCCUCAUUUGGACUCUCCUAGCUCCCUCUACCUAUAAAUAUGUGCCUCCCACGUCCAAAUCGUAGAUGAAACCCUAGCCUAGCCUUCCUCUCGCCCGCCGGACACGUCCAGCCGCCGCGCCGGACGAAUCAGCCACCGCCACGUCACCCAGCGUUUCCUCUCUCUCUCCUCCGCCGCCGCGCGGCCUGCCAGGCCCGCCGCGGGCCCGUGCGAGCCCAGCCGCCCGGCCCGCACGCUGUCCCGCGCGCCUCUGCCCGAGCCUUCCCCGGCCAGAUCCCGCGCCGCCGCUCCCGUCGCCGGCGAGCUUCGCCGCGGCUCCACCGCCUCCUCGCCUCCGGUCUCGCNNNNNNNNNNNNNNNNNNNNNNNNNNNNNNNNNNNNNNNNNNNNNNNNNNNNNNNNNNNNNNNNNNNNNNNNNNNNNNNNNNNNNNNNNNNNNNNNNNNNNNNNNNNNNNNNNNNNNNNNNNNNNNNNNNNNNNNNNNNNNNNNNNNNNNNNNNNNNNNNNNNNNNNNNNNNNNNNNNNNNNNNNNNNNNNNNNNNNNNNNNNNNNNNNNNNNNNNNNNNNNNNNNNNNNNNNNNNNNNNNNNNNNNNNNNNNNNNNNNNNNNNNNNNNNNNNNNNNNNNNNNNNNNNNNNNNNNNNNNNNNNNNNNNNNNNNNNNNNNNNNNNNNNNNNNNNNCGCCCGGCCCGGGUGCGUGCCGACUUCGCCGUCACCCAGAUCCGGCAGGCCGCCGCCCCCUUUGCCCAUUCCUGGCCGGAUCCGCCCGUCCCGCCUCGCCUCGCCCUCGCCGGCGACUCGCCUCCGCGUCCCGGCCGCCGGAAUCGCCGCGCCGCUGCCCUGCCUCCUCGAUCCAGGCGGGAUCGGGAGGAGGACUACUCCCCGCGUGUGGGCCUCGGCCCAGCCCAGCUCCAGCAGCCCUCCAGCCCACCUCUCCUUCCGUCCUGGGCCUGCAGCCCACUAGGUGAGCAUCCCGCCAGUCCUAUCCCCCGCGCCCGUGCGACUUAUAACUAUUCGAUGCUCACCUGUUUUUCUCCUGAAAACGACCAAGUCCCCGUAUCUGCAGUAAUUUUCAUGUCAUGUUCAUCAUGCCGUAUCUCUGCAUCCGUAGCUCCGUUUUGUGCGUGUAAUAUGUCAAAUUGUUCGUCUCAACGAGUACAUCAUUUCACUCCAUUGCAUCAUAUUCAUUAGAGCUCAUCUUGAUGCCUGAAUCAUUGUUGUAAGAGUGCUUCAUGAUGUUUUCUGCUGUCUGUUAUCAAAACGAGCUCUUUUGUCAUUUUUGCCAUGAUAGAUGUGUGCAUCCUAUGAGGUUGAUGUCUACAUGUGUUUUGAACUAUGCCAUGCCAUCUUUACAGAGGUGCUUACCAUGUAUUUUUGUGAUCAAUGUGGUGACUAGCAGAAGCAUGCAAACUAGGCAUCGUGAUAUUGCUAGUUUUAGUCCCUGUUCUGCUGUUAUUUUGAUGCCUUGUAAACUUGAUGCUACAGAGAGAUCCAUGCAUAUUUUGAGAUACUUCAGUAAGGGUGUUUUGAACAUGUGGUUAUUGUCUAUCCAUUUAUGCCCUUGGUUGCAAUCAUGGAGUAGUCUAGCAUGGCUUUUUCGUGCUCUACUUUUGCUUCAAAAUGUUUCCUGGCAGAUUGUUUACAUGUUAUUCAAUUUGGCCAAGCAUGUUGUAGUUGAUCCUUGCAUGCUAUGGACUUGUUCUUGACUUUGUUUGUUCCACAAACAUGUCUUCUUGAUGAUGCUAUGCUUAUCUUGUCAUGCAAUGACUUGUGGUGAGUGAAUCGAGCUUGUUAAGUAGUGUACAUGCUGUUACUGUUUGCUAGGCUGAAUCUGUUAUUUCAUGAUGCUAUAUAAACAUGUUGCUACUAAUCAUUCUAUGCAUAAUCUGGAGAUGUUCUAUAAACAUGUUUUUAUAUACAUGUCAUCCUCUAUCCAUCCAUGCCCAUGGUUGCAUUUAUAGGUUGUUAUAGCUUGUUCAUAUCUUGCUCCAAAGUUGCUUCAUAAUGUUGUUGUCAGCCUGUUUACAUUAAGUUCAGUUGUUUCCAUGUGUUUUCCUAGUGUUCCAUGCACCCUAUGACCUUGCUCUUGCCAUGCUUAAAUUCACAAAUAUGCCUUCUUACUGUUGGUUGCCUUGCCAUGCCAUGUAUUGCUCUGUAGUGAGUUGCACAAGCUCAUCUACAUGCCUUCAUAAUUCGGUUUCUGCCAUGUUUGAAUCUGUAAUAUAACUUGCUAUGUUUACGUGGGUGCCAUCAUAUUUUCUGAUCCUUUUUGGUUUAUGGUUAGCAAGGGACUUUUGAUCUAUGCAUUUAGUAGAUUCAUGCCAUGUCUUUGUUUGCCAUUAUAAGUUCCUGUAACAUGUUGUUUGAUAGCUCUGAACAUUGCAUCGUGAUGUUAUUUUCUGCAAAGCCUGAAUUGUUAUAACUUGCAAUCUUACCAUGUGUGUUUGAGCAUGUUCUAGUGAUUUCUAGAGAUAGCUCAGUGUUCAUGUUUUGUAAUGCUUUACCUGUACAUCAUGCCCAUGCCUUUUGUUUUCUUGUUGAGGUCAUGUAGCAUGUUGUUUUGAUGCUUGCAAUAUGCCUAGUUGCUGUUUUGGACAACUUGUCCUUUAAACUUGUUUCAUGUGUGUGUGUGUGUUGAACCGUUGCUCCGUUUUGAGUGUGCUCUAUAUGAAACUUGCUUAAAAUUGCAUGUAGCUUCAUAUUAUAAUGUUGCAUCCUUGUUUUGGUGUGUUUGCUUGAUGUUUGGGUGCAUUUUGCAUCAAUGCCAUGUUUAACUUGUUUUGCUCAUAUCUUCUAGGCCGUAGCUCCGAACUAAAUGAACUUUAUAUGUAACUUGACUAGAAUCUCGUGUAGAUCAUCUUGGUGCAUCUUAACUUGAUGUUUAAAAACUUGAACAUGAGGUUUAUUCAGAUCUGGAUCAACUUCGAAAUAUGCAUAUGAGGACUUACCGGAAUUGUUAUAUGUUGUUCCCGGCCUCAUUUAAACUUGCCUUGAUGUGUUGCUCUUGUUUGCAUCAUCUCUUGCCAUGAGUAGCUUCAUGUAGCUUUAUCAUGCAUCAUGUUUGUUGUGCAUCAUGCCUUGUUCAUGUGUGGUGUGUUUACUAUGUUGUGUGCUUCUUCUUGUUAGUUCCUGUUUCGUUGCGAUCGUGAGGAUUCGUUCGUCUACGGUUGGUUCGGCUUCAUCCGUUCGUCUUCUUCAUGGACUCGUUCUUCUUCCUUGCGGGAUUUCAGGCAAGAUGACCGCUACCCUGGAUCUCACUACUAUCAUUGCUAUGCUAGUUGCUUCGUUCUAUCGCUAUGCUGUGCUACCUAUUACCUGUUUAUCAAGCCAUCCCAAAUUGCCAUGAACCUCUAACCUUUGACACCUUUCCUAUGCAAACCGUUGUUUGGCUAUGUUACCGCUUUUGCUCAGCCCCUCUUAUAGCGUUGCUAGUUGCAGGUGAAGUUGAAGAUUUCUCCAUGGUGGACAGGAUUUUGGUUGGGAUAUCACAAUAUCUCUUAUAUUAUUAAUGCAUCUAUAUACUUGGUAAAGGGUGGAAGACUCGGCCUUUUGCCUAGUGUUUUGUUCCACUCUUGCCGCCCUAGUUUCCGUCAUAGCGGUGUUAUGUUCCCGGAUUUUGCGUUCCUUACGCGGUCGGGUGAUUUAUGGGACCCCCUUGACAGUUCGCUUUGAAUAAAACUCCUCCUGCAAGGCCCAACCUUGGUUUUACCAUUUGCCUCACCACCACCUACUUUUCCCUUGGGAGUCGCUCUCUCGAGGGUCAUCUUUAUUAUAGCCCCCCCGGGCCAGUGCUUGUCUAAGUAUUGGUCCGAACUAGAGCCCUUUGCAGCGCCCCCUCAGUGAAACUUGAGGUCUGGUUUUAGUUGUACGGAUUGCUCAUCCGGUGUUGCCCUGAGAACAAGAUAUGUGCAGCUCCUAUCAGGAUUGUCAGCGCACCGGGCGGUCUUGCUGGUCUUGUUUUACCAUUGUCGAAAUGUCUUGUAAACCGGGAUUUCGAGUCUAAUCGGGUCUUCCUGGGAGAAGGUCUAUUCCUUCAUUGAUCGCGAGAGCUUGUCAUGGGCUAAGUUGGGACACCCCUGCAGGGUAUAAUCUUUCAAAAGCCGUGCCUGUGGUUACAGGCAGAUGGGAAUUUGUUAAUGUCCGGUUGUAGAUAACUUGACACCAGAUCCGAAUUAAAACGCAUCAACUGUGUGUGUAGCCGUGAUGGUCUCUUUUCGGCGGAGUCCGGGAAGUGAACACGGUCUUUGGGUUAUGUUUGACGUAAGUAGGAGUUCAGGAUCACUUCUUGAUCAUUGCUAGCUUCACGACCGUUCUGCUUGCUCUCUUCUCGCUCUUAUUUGCGUAUGUUAGCCACCAUAUAUGCUUAGUCGCUGCUGCAACCUCACCACUUUGCCCCUUCCUUUCCUAUUAAGCUUUGCUAGUCUUGAUACCUAUGGUAAUGGGAUUGCUGAGUCCUCGUGGCUCACAGAUUACUACAACAACAGUUGCAGGUACAGGUUUUGCGAUGAUCAUGACGCGAGAGCGAUGUUUGCUUGUGUUGGAGUUCUUCUUCUGCUUCUUCUUUGAUCAGGGGAUAGGUUCCAGGUCGGCAGCCUAGGCUAGCAGGGUGGAUGUCGUUUGAGUUUCUGUUUGUGUUUCAUCCGUAGUCGGAUGAUGCUCUUAUGUAUUGUAAUGUUGUAUUCAUGUGGCAUUGUAUGCCUGAUGUAUGUAUCCCCAUCUAUUAUGUAAUGUUGAUGUAAUGAUAUCCACCUUACAAAAGCGUUUCAAUAUGCGGGUCUAUCCUUGGUGGGACGUUCGAGUUCCUUUUGGAUAGGGUCGCAUAUUGGGCGUGACACCUGCGGUUCAUCUUCAACCUCCACCCCCCUGAGCCGCCAGCCACCACCGGCCAAACAGCAGCCCCCCACCGCCUACGGUCGGCGGUGCGCCGCCUCGCCCGCCCCGGAAACACUCCCCACNNNNNNNNNNNNNNNNNNNNNNNNNNNNNNNNNNNNNNNNNNNNNNNNNNNNNNNNNNNNNNNNNNNNNNNNNNNNNNNNNNNNNNNNNNNNNNNNNNNNNNNNNNNNNNNNNNNNNNNNNNNNNNNNNNNNNNNNNNNNNNNNNNNNNNNNNNNNNNNNNNNNNNNNNNNNNNNNNNNNNNNNNNNNNNNNNNNNNNNNNNNNNNNNNNNNNNNNNNNNNNNNNNNNNNNNNNNNNNNNNNUUUCUUCAGCGAUCCCCACGCCACCGCCCCGUCAACGCCCCGCCACCGCCGGCGACCACUGCCCCCAUCCUGAACCCUAAGAUAGAUAGUGGGGUACCUCUCCGGCGAGCCCCCUCCCUGCUGCGGCUGGUUCUUCCUUCACCCCGGCAAGCCCACCCCUUGAAAAUCGACUGACCCAAAAGUCGAUUUAGUCGACUGAAGUGUAGCUAAAUCGGAGCAGCAUCGCAAGCAAGAGCAAGAGCGAUAGCAGCAACACGAGCAAGAGCAAUAGCAAGAGCAGACCAGGUAGGGGACCGAGAGCAAGAGCAGAGCAGCAACAUGAGCGAGAGCUAAAGCAGCAUCAGCUCCUACUAAUGUGGACGUCGCCGCCGAGGGAGCGACGCCGUGGAGGAAGUGGCCGGCGACGCCGCCAUGGAUGGAGCCGUGCCGUGUCGGCUCGGGACCGAGCGCCGACAACACCGUGAGAUCGAAUCAAGAAGAAAAUGCGGCGAUUAGUGUACAACCUCUUUGGUGGCGUCGAUUAGGCCGCAGCUUCAUCCGAGGAAAUGGUGAUGAUGAUGCUCUUCUAGUGGUGCAGGUGAAGACGGCGGUGUGGGAAUGGAGGUGGCCCGAAAGACGAGGGAAACGUCGGGGCAGCUCCUUGGAGGUGGAAGACGGGGUGGCUGAACCGGCAGGACUAUGAGAUCGACAACGGAUCCUCAUCCGGUACGGUGGAUGAGGGACGUCGAGGUGUUUCUGUGGACGACGUCGUCGGGGAAGAGGCUCCGACUGGGUGGCGGACGGAGCAGGGUGUGGGGUUUUGUCGCGGGUUUUCGCGGCCUCGGUGUACGAAUGGGUGGGCGGAUGGGAUGGCAGUGGGGAACCAUGGCUAAGGGACGCGCUUGUCCGAAAUGUGGGGUAAGUUACGAAAGUAACCCCCACCGAUUUGAGGCGGUUCUUUCGGUUCAGGGGUGCCACGGGCAUUUCACGUGUCGGGAUUUCACAGGAGGUGGGAGUUUUCUCGCGCGUUGUAAUUUUAGAAUAGCAAGGCGCGGGUUGAGAUGGAGGGAGUUGUCGGAGCACAACGAGACAAAGAUAUAUCUUAAAUAUUUCGGGCUAACAAGGCGCGGGUUGAAAUUACCGGACAAGCCUAACUUGUACUGUACCAAAUCAAUGCGCACUACAAAUGUCAUUCAAAACUUUGAAUUCAUGUUAUGUUCAAUUAAAAUAUUUCACUACGUGUAUAAUGCAUGCAACCUACUACUCAAAUAAACGUUUUAGUGCAUUCCAAAGGUAUAUACUACCGCUUCAAUAUGAACUAAAUUUGAAUAAGAUCUACAGUAAUGAUUGUUGUGAAGUCAAAGCAUUUGAAUGCGUUUCUCUGUUUUAAUAAGAUCUACAAUCAUCAUUAUUGUCAAGUUAAACCAUUGUUUGUGUAUUAUCUUCACAACACACCACAUGAUUAGUCUCGAGUUACAUAUGAACUAUGUGUACUAUAUGAACUCGAACUAGAUUUUUUGAAUCCACUUUAUUUUGAUUUCAAAUCACAUUACAUUUCUAGCUCUAGCUAGAUCUUCAUAAUCUAAACCAUGUCUCAUAUGUAUAAUGUGUUUAUCACAUUAUGUAUGGUGCCCCGCCCCCUACGCCUACAAGUAUUUAGAUGUGAGUUGCAAACACCACACAUUACCAAAAAUUCAAAUAAAAUGUGAGAAUGUUCGAUAUAUAGUAUUGUUUAGAUUGCUUGAUAUUUAGUUGUAACCUGCAAACGCCACACAUUAUCACAAAUUCAAAUAAAAUGUGAGAUUGUUUGAUGUAUAUUAUGGUUUAGAUUGUUCGGCAUUUAGCUGUGAGUUGCAAACGCCAUGCAUUAUCACAUUAUGGUAUAACAUGUGCACAACACGUGUAUCACCACUAUAUUCAUGCAUGCAAUUUUUAAAACACUAUGAUCUCCUAUUCAAAUAUAUGAAUCCGAUUUCAUAUCAAAUUAUGAUCUUUGUUAGUCUCUUACACCCACACAAUCCUCUAACCUUUGUAGCUACCACUAACUUUCUCUCGUGCAUGCACACGCCCUCCUCGCCCUCCCCUCCCUCGGCAUUCUAUCCACUAGGCACAUUCAUUUUUUUCUUUAGGUCAUUCUCCCAGAGUCUCCACAACUCCUUUCCGACACACACCGAUCGAUAAACCUCUCCAGCGAUGCCUGCCUACAACAUACACACACACACCUUGAAUCUCCUCCUUCAUAUGUCCUUGCCUCGUGUCUCUCAUACGGUCAGACACACGUGUAAACUCUCACCCCUCUUUUCAUCGAUCUCACAACCGCACACUCCUCCCCCUAUCUAGCUAGUAGUCGGGCCUCUCACACCACCUCCUAGCUCCAUUCCCUUUGUCUAUCCGUCUCGCUGGGCCUUAUUUGCCUCUAACAAAUGGACAUACACCGACCGAUCUCUCGCUAUACAUAUAGCUAGCUAGGUCCUUAUAACUCGUUUUUACCCACACGUCGAUUGAUCUACCUCAUUAGUUGUGUCUCUCCCUUCCUCCGACAAACAACAAUUGAUCUACCGAUCUAGUUAGAUUUGCUUACCAAACACAUGGUUGCCCUUCAUCAUCCAUGGAUGCGUCCCGAUAGAUCUAUCACGCACAGGCACACACAGAAACACAUCCACACUCUUAUUGAUAACAUUGCAGUUCCACCCUCAGUUUGUCUAGUAGGCCUCUCCCAACAUCUCCUAGAAGCAACUCCAUCACCCAUCCAGCACUCUACCCCUCUCCCUCCCUCUCCCUCCCUCUAUCUCUCUCCUCUCUCUCUCUCUCUGUCCCAUCAUAUUUCCCGUCCUUCAGUUAUGUAUGGAUGUCGACCGAUCUCCCUCAAGACAUAGCCGGGUCUCUCCUUCUCAACACAUAUACGAGUCGCUCUACCUCUAUAGUUAGGCCUCUGCCUACCCCUCCCCCCACCCCCCUCCCCCCCACACACACCGAUACAUCAAGCGCUCUAGUCAUGUCUCCCUGCCACACACAAACUUGACAUGUGCCCUCUAACGUUCCGGUAGGCCAGUCNNNNNNNNNNNNNNNNNNNNNNNNNNNNNNNNNNNNNNNNNNNNNNNNNNNNNNNNNNNNNNNNNNNNNNNNNNNNNNNNNNNNNNNNNNNNNNNNNNNNNNNNNNNNNNNNNNNNNNNNNNNNNNNNNNNNNNNNNNNNNNNNNNNNNNNNNNNNNNNNNNNNNNNNNNNNNNNNNNNNNNNNNNNNNNNNNNNNNNNNNNNNNNNNNNNNNNNNNNNNNNNNNNNNNNNNNNNNNNNNNNNNNNNNNNNNNNNNNNNNNNNNNNNNNNNNNNNNNNNNNNNNNNNNNNNNNNNNNNNNNNNNNNNNNNNNNNNNNNNNNNNNNNNNNNNNNNNNNNNNNNNNNNNNNNNNNNNNNNNNNNNNNNNNNNNNNNNNNNNNNNNNNNNNNNNNNNNNNNNNNNNNNNNNNNNNNNNNNNNNNNNNNNNNNNNNNNNNNNNNNNNNNNNNNNNNNNNNNNNNNNNNNNNNNNNNNNNNNNNNNNNNNNNNNNNNNNNNNNNNNNNNNNNNNNNNNNNNNNNNNNNNNNNNNNNNNNNNNNNNNNNNNNNNNNNNNNNNNNNNNNNNNNNNNNNNNNNNNNNNNNNNNNNNNNNNNNNNNNNNNNNNNNNNNNNNNNNNNNNNGAGCGCAGUUUGUAUCUCUCACACACACCCACGUAGGUGGGGGACGUGCACGAAGAGAAGAGGUGCAUGCAUGGUGCACGUACUCCCGUCUCUUUCCCAACCACACCCGCGCGGGUAAAUGGUGGAGCUCAUUUCUGUAUGAAAAAGGCAGCCCACAUGGUAAUUUGGCAUGUGUACUGGUUGUCCACUUGGUGGAGGGAGGAUCGUCUACCAUGGGUGAACAAACAAAUUGCGACUUGACGCGUUAUGUUAAAUUAAAAAAAGAGGCAAACCAUGUGGGGCCUACCUUAGAGGCAAGGCUCUAUACAUUGGAGUACUUUUGAUGUGUCCCGUCAACUCGCAGAAUGAGGAGAAGCUUGCUUAGUACGCCGUCUCCCCCGCCCACAAGCGCGGUGGCUCGCAGGAUGAGGUGAAGCUUGCUCCGCCUUACGCCCGCUCCCUCGCCCAUGCGCGCGGUGGCUCGCAGGACGAGGAGAAAAAUUUACUACUCCCUCCGUUUACUCCUCGUCCCUACUACCUUGGUUAUAGAGAUUAUAUCAUAUUGUUUGGAAUAUAUAUGUCCUUUAGUAGAUUUCAAUAUGAACUACUAGUACAUACUCCAAUCACUGAUGUAUAUAGACGUAUUUUAGAGUGUAGAUUCACUCAUUUUGCUCCGUAUGUACUACUACCUCUGUCCGGGUUUAUUGGUCCCCAUUGUAUUUCGUGCCAAAUUUUGACCAUAGAUUAAACUAAGAAAAUGUUCAUGCAUGUCACCAAACAUUAUUUUUGAAAACUAUGUUAAAAUACGAAUCCAAUGAGAUAAUUUUUCUUGACAUGCAUUAACAUUUUGUUAGUUAAUCUUUAGUCAAAAUUUGGCACAAACUAUAAAAGGGACCUAUAAACAAGGACGGAGGUAGUAGCCCUCUCCCUCGCCCCUUGACCCUCGCCCAUGUGGUGGACGUGCAACAAUUCAUUCGGUCUCAUAUAGCCAGAAUGAUAUAUACUGCACUACCAUUAUUGCUCGACUUCCCGAAGAGGCGAAGAGCCAAUCGCAAGGUUAAUAUUUUGGAGAUGCCAAGCGCAAGGUUAUAGGAGAACGAGUAGUAGGUGCCAUGUCAUUUAUAGAUAAAGUUUUUUUUUCUUCAGUGGCACGUACGCAAUAUGAUAGGUUCAUAUGGAGAGAAAAGGAAACCGCUCCACUAUAUACAUAGUCAGGACGGGCCAGCCUACAUGGUUGCUUGCUGGGGUUGCUCUCUUCAUACUCUCUCGCACAAAAUGACUGUGGCCACAUCUCUAACAUCCCGGUGGAUCACGUCCGCUUGGGGAAGGGGUGGAUGCUUAGUGUAGAUGCGGUGGCCGUCGUCGACGGCGAAAACCCACUGUCGGCAUGUCCCGAUCAGGGGUCCCCGCCGUUCUCUCUCACAAAGCCGGUGCGGUUGCCUUCGUCACUUGCUCAUUGCCACGACGUAGGAAGUUGCCGCCUCCCGCCGCCCUCCUCAAGGUUGAGCUACAUCCCUCAGGUACAACUCCCUUUACAGCCGGCUUGCACCACUGCUCCAGCUGCCCACAUCACUCCCUAUGGAUAUUUCUCUACUUGUUUGCCCCGCACAUACCUGAUACCUCUACUGGCUUCUACAUACUGUAUUUGUGAUGAGUUUAUGUCUCAUCAACUAGUCCCAAUAAUCUUAUUCUAAUCACGCUUCUUCAAUUUCUUUGCCACAUGGAUGUUCAUCUCGAUUUUGGUGAAACUGCACAAAAUGAUCCGAUGGUCAAAAGGUUGCAAACUUCAUUUAUUAGAAAGAUCGAAAGAUGCCAGCAAAUUGAAGCCUGGUCAAGGUUCACGGUUCAAGGGCUAGGGACUGCAUGGAUCGUUUUUUUCUUUAGCUGCCUCUGUUCCAAAAUAAGUGUCAACUUUAGUAGUAGUACAACUUUGUACUAAAGUUUGCACAAAGUUGAGACACUUAUUUUGGAAUGGAGGGAGUACAUAUUUGCUAUGAUCUGUCAAUCAUUGAGAUGCAAUAGCAUGCAUGUUAGUCUCCUUUGUAUUUGAUGAAAUGUUGCAACGGGCAACCUUGGACACAAGAUACAUGUAACAGGAGCUGGAAGCUUCAUAGCAUUGUACAAAUUUAUCUCGCUGAUAAAUUACAGUAUGUAGUACUAUACUAGUACUUACUCUGUUCCUAAAUAUAAGUCUUUGUAGAGAUUUCACCACUAUAUAGAUGCAUUUUAAGUGUAGAUUCAUUCAUUUUGUUCCGCAUGUAAUUCACCUAGUGGAAUCUCUACAAAGACUUAUCUACUAGUAAUAGCUAGCCCCCACUACUAGGAAUUCUCUAUCCUCUCCUUGAGCCACAUCAUCAAAAUUGAUGUAGCUUUUAGAUGAAGUAAAUCAGUCCAUAAUAGCCAUCUGAUCUAGACGUUGAGAGGCUCCGCACUAAGCCACAUGCAAGCAUGCAGAAAUACCGUGGCACAUGCAUGUGAGUGGGUUUUAAAUCACAUCAACAUGUCUGCAUGCAAGCAUGCACCGGUAGCAUGCAUGUAAGUGAGCUUUUAAGUCCCAUUAACAUGUCAAAAAGAAAAAUAUAAUCCCAUUAUGCAGUAGGAGUUGGCUGAUCUUUUUUCCUUACGUGGGAUGAUCUAAAUGAUGAUGGGAGUUUAUUUAGUUUGGCUACCACAUUUGUCAUGCGCUUAUAGAGUUUUUUUAGUUCUAUGAAAUCGAUAAUUUUGCGCAGAGAGAUAUACCGCUAUUCCGCGGCAACGCGCGGGGGGACUCAUCUAGUAAUAUUUAGGUACAGAGGGAGUACUAUGUAAAGAGUUAGGUGUCGCACGGUGAUAGUGUGAGGUGGGCCAUGUAAUCACUGAGCCUGCGUGUUUUCACGGCUCUUGCACUCCUCCGCUGUAAGAAUGGAGAAAAUUGUAAUCUAGUAGUAGUAGUACCUCCUUUCGCCGAAAGCGUGGGACAUCCAGCAGUCCUACCACCUCAGUAAUAAAGACCAAUGAGCCGUCAAAUCACAUAGACCUAGCAGUAAGUUGGACAGACGAAGCAACCAUCACUCUUGCGCCAGUGAAAGGUCGCGCCCGCUCUGCCCGGGCAUGAAUGCGACACCGAUUCUUUGGAGCGGCGCUGACCGUUUCGGGCGGGAAGCGCACGCGGGCGAUGGAGGGGCUUUGGGUGGGCCAGGCUGGUCAGGAGCGAGCGUGGCAGCUGUCCGCAUGUCCCUACCGGACACGCCCGGAAACGAGAGGAUGCACCGACUCUCGUAGCUAAAAUCGUACACUACACACCAUCUCUCUGUAGGAGUAGGUUGAUCUAUCGCACUCUCUAACACACACAUGCUGUUAAACACACACACGCACACGCAUGCACCUUGGUCCUGUUGCACCGUCUAACCUGACUUAUUACACCUAUAUGGAGGGAGUAGUAAGUAUACGAGAUACGGUGGCACACUGACUUAAGUCGAAUACAAGUGCCCAAAAUUUGUGUGCAUGUUAUAAUAAGGAUUCACUUAAAAUAGUACGUGAGCGAACAGAGGGAUCAAUUGGAUAGUGUUCCCGAGCAGUAGCGAGAUGUGUGAGGUAAGAUACACCGCUGACGCUUUUAAGUUUUCUUAUUAAUUUGUUUGUUUCACCCUCUGACUGGUGGGACCCAACGUACUACAUGGAGAGAGGUAAGGUGACUAAGGCUGCAUUAUUUCUGCACCACUGUGGAUAGUCUUACCACCAAAGCCACAUGACACGAUUAUGAUUGAAAUCCCAAUGACUCCCACACACACAAAAAAACACACACGGCAUGCUUGUCACACGAAUGCAGGAAUGUAUAAAAGGUUAUUUUCCUCUCGUUGAACAUAACGGGAGGGUUGUGUAGCUGGUUAGCCUGUUCGCUCAUCAAACUUGAGGUCUCGGGUUCGAUAACUACACUUGAGCAUAAUUUUUGCUAGGAGGAUUCUUUGACUGGUCAAAAUGUUUUCUAGGGUUUGCACGCUUCACACUCUCUCUCCAGUAUAUAUACACGCUGGAGCCUCAACGCUUGUAGUUGCUCUCUUCACACUCUCUCGCCCUCUCCCGCUGGAGCCUCAGCGCUUGUAGUUGCUCUCUUCACACUCUCUCGCCCUAUCCAGAUCUAAACAAGACAUCGUUGGCCUCUCUCUCCCCUCACUGCUGCUCAAAGAGCCGGCGGGAUACGUCCGCUGGGAAGGGAAGGAGGCUUAACGUUGUCGCCGUCGGCAAGGGAGGGAAUCCACUACCGGCGCAGCUGUUCACUUUCCACCCAGCAGAAGCGCGGGAGGGCCUCCGACCCAUUCUUCUUCGCCGCUGUCCCGUCGCCCACCGAACCAUGCCGCAAGAUCCUUAAGGUAUAUUUUACUUACUCCACAUGCAUUGCUCUAGCUACAUGUAUACCAUGAAUCUAGGACGUGGUUCAAAGAGGAAAGGAGUGGGGGAAAGUAGUGGGAAAAGUUGUAUAUAGCAUGAAUCUAGGACGUGGUUCAAAGAGGAAAUGAAGGGGGAAAUUUCUAUAGCAUGAAUCUAGGAAGUGGUUCAAAGAGGAAAGGAAUGGGGGAAAGUAGUGGGGAAAGUUGUAUCGCAUAAAUCUAGGACGUGGUUCAAAGAGGAAAGGAAGGGGCAAAAGUACUAGUUCAAAAAGGAAAGGAAGGGACAAGGCUAUGGAGUUUGAGCAGGACUAGAUUUGCUGCGCUCACAUAGGGAAAGGUGUCUAAAGAUAAAAAAACUAGGACCAACACAAAUAUGCUCCUUGGUUGUUUGUUCUUUGUUGCAACAGACUGUGCAUGACCAAAGUACAUCGGUAGAGGCACAUGGUGCUGGUACGUCCACUGUCCCGUGCAACUCAUUAGCUAUUGUUAAUCUAAGGCCCUGUUUGGUUAAAAACUCCCUAGUCCCUACCUGCUUGGUUCCAGGGACUAAACAUGGACUAGAGGUUAUUAAAUGACAUGCUAAAAGACCAUGUUACCCCUAGUAAUGAACUAAUAGAAACAAGGUGCGAUGCGUGGCAGGGGCAACUGUUGGAAAAAGUCCCAAAAAGACUCCCUCGGGGUCUUCUUUCUUUAGUCCCAAAUGCCCACUUUUAGUCCCUAAAAGUCCCUCGUGUUUGGUUUAGAUGGGACUGACACGGAGUUUUUUUAGUCCCUACACCAAAAUGUCCCUGUAAACAAACACCCUCUAAUAAUGCCGUUGGAAAAUUGAUGCAAUGCCAUAGUUAAAAGCAAAUUACAUGUUUAACAAAUUUUAUUGUUAAUAUAAUCUCUAUGUUAAUAUUAAUCAAUGCCACCGUUUGAGAAAUGCUACUGUCUUGCUUUCUUUCCCAUUUAGAUAAGGUAGAUACUUCUUUUUGUUGGCUUCUGUGUCAUCCACCGUUAUUGAUCACUAAUUGUUUCCUUUGCACCUCUGUGUAAAUAGGGUUAUCUACUUCACCUCGUUGCCAUUGUGACCUUUUGUUGCACUGCACAAAACACUUUUGUUUUAAGUGUGUUUUGUGCAGUUCAACCAAAAUGUUACACCGACAACGUUGCUUGAUUGCUUGAUCUUAGUGGAAUUGCACAAGAGGAGAUCUUACUUCCUAUCCGUUAAGGCGAAUUUGGUUCAGAUCUUCUUCUUGUGAGUUGUUUGAAUUCUGCAUCAUGAGAGGUCUUCUUAUUGAACCAAGUGAUGAAGGGGAAGAACAAGCGGAAUAAAAACAAAAAUCAACUCCCGGUGCUGUAAUGAAGCACUGGAACUGUGAUGACAGAAGUAAUGAUAUAGUUUUGCAUCUUAAUUUAUUGCUAUGGCUGGAACGAGCAAUUGUUUUGCCACUGAGUUGAUGACAUACGUAAUUAUCUCUACUUGUGCAAAUAGGGAUCUUCUUUGAAGAUACCAUAUGUUUUAGUGGAACUGCACAAGAAGAUGUUGGAAACAUUAAACUAAUCGAGGAGUAUAUAGUAAGCAUGGCCACCCCCGUAGAUAGCAACAGAUGGUUCCGGAGAAGUGCUUCAUCUGUAUGCUCUACACAAUCAGCCUCCUGACAAAGGUUGAUACUCGCCCACUGAUUUCAUCCAUAUGAUUGAGCUUUGUCAUCUCUAUUGGUGUUGUGCUACUGUUUAGAUACUGUCAUGAAAAAGUGGUAUUGUCCUUGAGAAGUGCUUCAUCUGUGCUGUUUUAAAUAUUUCCUUUCCUUUUUUUCGAGCAAACAGGGAUGCUAGCAUUUAGUAGUCCUCUUGUCUUUGCACAACAGGAUCAUCUUCCUCUAAAGAAGAAUAUGGAGUACCUGAAGUGACUAGUUCCGAUUAUGCCAGGAUGAAGAAGCCCUGUCUAUCUUCUCAUCAGAAGGAGCAGUUGAAGGAUGGUUACAUUACUCCCCACAAGACCAAACUAAGUUCAGCUCAGAAGGACUGACAAAUCUCCAUUUUUUUGCUGUGAUGCGCGAGUACAAUGUUGUUCUAGGAUUCUUUCUGGUGAGUUCCAUUUUUCUAAAAGUGUGCUCUACAUGGACCAUGUAUGUGCCUGUUGAAGCUGUCAAUUCAUAGUAUAGUUUGCUUUAUACUAAUCACUUUUUUGUAUUUGUGCAAACAGGGGUGCUCAGCUUGAUUUCAAUGGGAACUUCUCAAAAUGUUCAUGAAUACAUCGAAUCAUUCAUUUCCACCACAAGAAAGGAUGUGCCCAUAUGUUCAAGGCGUUGCAACAUAUAAGGGCGAAAUCAUACAAGCUACGCGCGAAUUUGGUUGAUUUUGGUGGAACUGCACAAAAAGAACAGCUGGUUUAUUUAGCACGAGGUGCCAUGUCAAUGUCCAAACUGAUGGCAAACCCUGCCCAUUCCACAAUCCUAGGCAUUUGAUAUUUUGGAAUGGGACAACCUUGUCAAAUUUUGCUCAUUGAUUUUAGCAAGAUAUGCGUUUGAUAUUUUUUGAAUGGGCCGCCCUUUGCUGUCAGCAUCGUCGAUCAAUUUUUUCUUUAUUCUUUAGUUGUGAAGUAAAUAUUGCCUCUGACAUGUGAGUCGCUGAGAUGCAUAAUCAUUGAUUGUUUUGAAUGUUCUCCAUGAAUUUCCAGGCCUGUGUGUUUGAUUGCAAUGUACAGAAACGCUAAAAAGCUGCUCAAACUCUUUGUACUCCUUCUGUUCCUUUUUACUUCGCACAUUGUGAAAGUGCAUACUUUUUUGUAUAAGAUUGGUCAAAGUAGAGAUACUUUGACUGCAGACAAAACUUGUAUGCAGACUAGAAAGGACCGGAGGGAGUACAUGUGAAACUGCUGCAAACGAGGUGAUCACCCUGGGAAUAAUGCUAGUACGUAUUGUUUUGCAUGUUCAUCCAAUGCCAGUGAUACAGGAAUUCGACCUAAUCGAAAUAAAUUCAUUCAUACACGGUCGAAUUUCAUAUAAACAUGCCGGAUUUCAUUACAUUUCAUAAAUUCUUCAACUAAAAAGGGGUGCGCUGGAGGUAUAAUUAAUUAACCAAAGCUACCCACCCAUGUCCCGCUGAGCCGAACAGAAGCUUCAGUGACUUAACUGCAUGUGCAGUUGCGUAACUGACAUGUGGCCUGUUGGGCCCACGUGUCAGUCAUCCAACUGCACCAGCAGUUAAGUAGAAGCAGCGUUCUUCUCCAGCGCAGCUCUCCGACUCCACGUCGCCGCCAAGAAGCUAACCGGCCGUCAAUGGUCAACCCGCCUAGCUUGGCUUCAACCAGAGGGUAGCAGCGGUGAAAGUGCAACAAUCCCUAGGUGGUUUUGGUAAUUCCUAACAACAUAUAGCUCAUUGAGCUAAUACUAUUCCAAGACAAAUAUUUCAGAAAAGCUCAAUGAAUGGCAUGGCAUGGAUGAGGAAAGUGGAUCCCUCAAAAUACUAAGGAUAAAAGGAUUGGCUCAAGCUCAAAAGCUCAAGACUCUACAUUUUAUAUUUUAGUGAUCCAAGAUCACAUUGAGUCUAUAGGAAAAGCCAAUACUAUCAAGGAGGGAUGAGGUGUUGUUUAAUGAGUUUCUUGCUUCAAGUGCUUAGUGAUAUGCUCCAAAAAGCCUCAACUACUUUCUCAUAUCCACCUAUGUUUUGGGGAACGUAACAGAAAUUCAAAAUUUUCUAUGCAUCACCAAGAUCAAUCUAUGGAGAGACUAGCAACGAGAGAGAGAGGGAGUGCAUCUUCAUACCCUUGAAGAUCGCUAAGCGGAAGCGUUACAAGAACGCGGUCGGUGGAGUCGUUCACGAAGCGAUUCAGAUCGCGGCCGAAUCCGAUCUAAGCACCGAAGAACGAUGCCUCCGCGUUCAACACACGUACAGCUCGGGGACGUCUCCUCCUUCUUGAUCCAGCAAGGGGAGAGGAGAAGUUGAGGGAAAACUCCGACAGCACGAUGGCAUGGUGGUGAUGGAGCUCGUGGUUCUCCGGUAGGGCUUCGCCAAGCACUACGGAGGAGGAGGAGGUGUUGGAGGAGGGAGAGGGAUGCGCCAGGGAAAGGGUGUGGCUUCCCUCUCUCUCCCUCACUAUAUAUAGGGGGGAGGGAGGAGGGGGAGGCGCCCUAGGGUUCCCUAGGGGAGGGGCAACGGCCACAGGGGAAACCCUAGAUGGGUUUGGGCGCCCCCACCCCCUAGGAAACUUGCCCCCCAAGCCGGGAGGGGCGGCUGUCCUAGGGGUGGCGCCCCCACCUCUCCUGGUUACGUGAGAUGGGGUGGGAGGGGCGCUCAGCCCCUUAGGGGGCUGAUGUGCCCCCUCCCCUUGGCCCAUAAGGCCCCCAACGCUUGCCGGGGCCUCCGAAACCCCUUUCGUACACGCUGGUCAUCACCUGGUACCCCCAGAACAAUUCCGGACUCCAAUACCCUUCGUCCAAUAUAUCGAUCUUCGUCUCCGGACCAUUCCGGAGUUCCUCGUCACGUCCGGGAUCUCAUCCGGGACUCCGAACAACCUUCGGUAACCACAUACUAUUUCCCAUAACAACUCUAGCGUCACCGAACCUUAAGUGUGUAGACCCUACGGGUUCGGGAACCAUGCAGACAUGACCGAGACACCUCUCCGGCCAAUAUACAAUAGCGGGAUCUGGAUACCCAUAUUGGCUCCCACAUGUUCCACGAUGAUCUCAUCAGAUGAACCACGAUGUCGGGGAUUCAAUCAAUCCCGUAUAGAAUUCUCUUUGUCAAUCGGUACAUUACUUGCCCGACAUUUGAUCGUUGGUAUCCCAAUACCUCGUUCAAUCUCGUUACCGGCAAGUCACUUUACUCGUUCCGUAAUGCAUGAUCCCGUGACUAACUACUUAGUCACAUUGAGCUCAUUAUGAUGAUGCAUUAUCGAGUGGGCCCAGAGAUACCUCUCCGUCAUACGGAGUGACAAAUCCCUGUCUCGAUUCGUGCCAACCCAACAAACACUUUCGGAGAUACCUGUAGUGCACCUUUAUAGUCACCCAGUUACGUUGUGACGUUUGGUACACCCAAAGCACUCCUACAGUAUCAGGGAGUUACACAAUCUCAUGGUCUAAGGAAAUGAUACUUGACAUUAGAAAAGCUUUCGCAAAUGAACUACACGAUCUUGUGCUAUGCUUAGGAUUGGGUCUUGUCCAUCAUAUCAUUCUCCUAAUGAUGUGAUCCCGUUAUCAAUGACAUCCAAUGUCCAUGGUCAGGAAACCAUGACCAUCUGUUGAUCAACGAGCUAAUCAACUAGAGGCUCACUAGGGACAUGUUGUGGUCUAUGUAUUCACACAUGUAUUGCGGUUUCCGGUCAAUACAAUUAUAGCAUGAAUAAUAGACAAUUAUCAUGAACAAGGAAAUACAAUAAUAACCAUUUUAUUAUUGCCUCUAGGGCAUAUUUCCAACAGUCUCCCACUUGCACUAGAGUCAAUAAUCUAGUUCACAUCACUAUGUGAUUGUAAUGAAUCAACACCCAUGGGUUUUGAUCAUAUCUCGCUUGUGAGAGAGGUUAUUAGUCAACAGAUCUGAACCUUUCAGAUCCGUGUGUGCUUUGCAAAUCUCUAUGUCAUCUCCUAGAUGCAGCUACCACGCUCUAUUUGGAGCUAUUCCAAAUAACUGUUCUACUAUACGAAUCCGGUUUACUACUCAGAAUAAUCCGGAUUAGUGUCAAAGUUUGCAUCGGCGUAACCCUUUACGACGAACUCUUUUACCACCUCCAUAAUCGAGAAAAUUCCUUAGUCCACUAGUUACUAAGGAUAAGUUUGACCGCUGUCCUGUGAUCCAUUCCUGGAUCACUCUUGUACCCCUUGACUGACUCAUGGCAAGGCACACUUCAGGUGCGGUACACAGCAUUGCAUACUAUAGAGCCUACGUCCGAAGCAUAGGGGACGACCUUCGUCCUUUCUCUCUCUUCUGCCAUGGUCAUGUCUUGAGUCUUACUCAAUAUUCACACCUUAUAACACAGCCAAGAACUCCUUCUUUGCCGAUCUAUUUUGAACUCCUUCAAAAUAUUGUCACGGUAUGUAUUUAUUUGAAAGUACUAUUAAGCGUUUUUGAUCUAUCCUUAUAGAUCUUGAUGCUCAAUGUUCAAGUAGCUUAAUCCAGGUUUUCCAUUGAAAAACACUUUUCAAAUAACCCUAUAUGCUGUCUACAAAUUCUACAUCAUUUCUGAUCAACAAUAUGUUAAUAACACAUACUCAUCAGAAAUUCUAUAGUGCUCCCACUCACUUCUUUGGAAAUAAAAGUUUCUCAUAAACUUUGUAUAAACCCAAAAUCUUUGAUUAUCUCAUCAAAGCGUAUAUUCCAACUCCGAGAUGCUUACUCCAGUCCUUAGAAGGAUUGCUGGAGCUUUGCAUACUUGUUAGCAUCUUUUAGGAUUGACAAAACCUUUUGGUUGUAUCACAUACAACCUUUCCUCAAGAAUAUCAUCAAGGAAACAAUGUUUUGACAUCCUAUCUGCAAGAUCUCAUAAAUCAUGCAGUAACUACUAAUAUAAUUCCAACAGACUCUUUAGCAUCGCUACGAGUGAGAAAGUCUCAUCGUAGUCAACUCCUUGAACUUGUCGGAAAACAUCUUAACGACAAGUCGAGCUUUCUUAAUGGUGACACUUACCAUCAUUGUCCGUCUUCCUUUUAAAAUCCAUUUGUACCCAACAGCCUUAUGACCAUUAAGUAGUUCUGCCAAAGUCUACACUUUGUUUUCAUACAUGGAUCCUCUCUUGGAUUUUAUGGCCUCGAGCCAUUCAUCGGAAUCCGGGCCCAUCAUCGCUUCUCCAUAGCUCGUAGGUUUACCGUACCACUCCGAAGCAGUACGCGUCCUUGUCGACCUACGAGGUUCGGUAGUGACUUGAUCCAAAGUUUCAUGAUCACUAUCAUCAGCUUCCACUUCAAUUGGUGUAGGUGCCACAGGAACAACCUCCUGUGCCCUGCUACACACUGGUUGAAGUGAUGGUUCAAUAACCUCAUCAAGUCUCCACCAUCCUCCCACUCAAUUCUUUCGAGAAAAAUUUUUCCUCCAGAAAGGACCCGCUUCUAGAAACAAUCACUUUUGCUUCCGGGUCUGAAUUAGGAGGUAUACCCAACUGUUUUGGGUGUCCUAUGAAGAUGUAUUUAUCCGCUUUGGGUUCGAGCUUAUCAGGAUGAAACUUUUUUCACAUAAGUGUCGCAGCCCCAAACUUUUAAGAAACGACAUCUUAGGUUUCUCUAAACCAUAGUUCACACAGUGUCAUCUCAACGGAAUUAUGUGGUGCCCUAUUAAAUUGAAUGCGGUUGUCUCUAAUGCCUAAUCCAUAAACAAUAGUGGUAAUUCGAUAAGAGACAUCAUGGUAUGCUCCAUAUCCAAUAGGGUGCAUCUAUGAUGUUCGGACACACCAUCACACUAUGGUGUUCCAGGCGGUAUUAGUUGUGAAACAAUUUCCACAAUGUCUUAAUUGUGUACCAAACACGUAACUCAGAUAUUCAUCUCUAUGAUCAUAUCAUAGACAUUUUAUCCUCUUGUCACAACGAUCUUCAACUUCACUCUGAAAUUACUUGAACCUUUCAAUAAUUCAGACUUGUGUUUCAUCAAGUAAAUAUACUCAGCAUCUACUCAAAUCAUCUGUGAAGUAAGAACAUAACGAUAUCCACUGCGUGCCUCAGCACUCAUUGGACUGCACACAUCAAAAUGUAUUACUUCCAACAAGUUGCUUUCUUGUUCCAUCUUACUGAAAACGAGGCUGUUCAGUCAUCUUUCCCAUGUGUUAUGAUUUGCAUGUCUCAAGUGAUUUAGAAUCAAGUGAGUCCGAAUGAUCCAUCUGCAUGGAGUUUCUUCAUGCGCACAUACCAAUAGACAUGGUCCGCAUGUCUCAAACUUUUCAAAACGAGUGAGUCCAAAGAUCCAUCAACAUGGAGCUUCUUCAUGCAUUUUAUACCAAUAUGACUCAAAUGGCAGUGCCACAAGCAGGUGGUACUAUCAUUACUAUCUUAUAUCUUUUGGCAUGAACAUGUGUAUCACUAUGAUCGAGAUUCAAUAAACCAAUUAUUUUAGGUGCAAGACCAUUGAAGGUAUUAUUCAAAUAAACAGAGUAACCAUUAUUCUCCUUAAAUGAAUAACCGUAUUGCGAUAAACAUAAUCCAAUCAUGUCUAUGCUCAAUGCAAACACUAAAUAACAAUUAUUUAGGUUUAACACCAAUCCCGAUGGUAGAGGGAGCGUGCGAUGUUUGAUCACAGCAACCUUGGAAAUACUUCCAACACAUAUCGUCACCUCGCCUUUAGCUAGUCUCCAUUUAUUCCGUAGCCUUUUAUUUUGAGUUACUAACACUUAGCAACUUAACAGGUAUCUAUUACCAUGGUGCUACUAGGAGCACUAGUAAAGUACACAUCAAUAUAAUGUAUAUCCAAUAUACUUCUGUCGACCUUGCCAGCCUUCUCAUCUACCAAGUAUCUAGGGUAGUUCUGCUUCAGUGACCGUUCCCCUUAUUACAGAAGCACUUAGUCUCGGGUUUGGGUUCAACCUUGGGUUUCUUCACUAGAGCAGCAACUGAUUUGCCAUUUCAUGAAGUAUCCCUUCUUGCCCUUUCCCUUCUUGAAACUAGUGGUUUCACUAACCAUCAACAAUCGAUGCUCCUUCUUGAUUUCUACUUUCGCAGUGUCAAACAUCGCGAAUAUUUCAAGGAUCAUCAUAUCUAUCCCUGAUAUGUUAUAGUUCAUCACGAAGCUCUAGUAGCUUGGUGGCAAUGACUUUGGAGAAACAUCACUAUCUCAUGUGGAAGAUUAACUCCCACUCAAUUCAAGUGUUUGUUGUACCCAGACAAUCUGAGUACAAGCUCAGCGAUUGAGCUUUUCUCCCUUAGUUUGUAGGCUAAGAAACUCAUCGGAGGUCUCAUACCUCUUGACGUGGGCACGAGCCUAAAAUCCCAAUUUCAGCCCUUGGAACAUCUCAUAUGUUCCGCGACGUUUCAAAAACAUCUUCGGCGCCACAAUUCUAAACCAUUUAACAUUACUGAACUAUCAUGUAGUCAUCAAAACGUGUAUGUCAGAUGUUCGCAACAUCCACAGACAACGUUCGAGGUUCAGCACACCGAGCGGUGCAUUAAGGACAUAAGCCUUCUACGCAGCAAUGAGGACAAUCCUCAGUUUACGGACCCAGUCCGCAUAAUUGCUACUAUCAACUUUCAACUAAAUUUUCUCUAGGAACAUAUCUAAAACAGUAGAACUAAAACUCGAGCUACGACAUAAUUUGCAAAGACCUUUUGACUAUGUUCAUGAUAAUUAAGUUCAUCUAAUGAACUCCCACUCAGAUAGACAUCCCUCUAGUCAUCUAAGUGAUACAUGAUCCGAGUCAACUAGGCCGUGUCCGAUCAUCACGUGAGACAGACUAGUCAUCAUCGGUGAACAUCUUCAUGUUGAUCGUAUCUUCUAUACGACUCAUGUUCGACCUUUUGUUCUCUUGUGUUCCGAGGUCAUGUCUGUACAUGCUAGGCUCGUCAAGUCAACCUAAGUGUUUUGCAUGUGUAAAUCUGGCUUACACCCGAUCAUCACGUGGUGCUUCGAAACAACGAACUUUCGCAACGGUGCACAGUUAGGGGGAACACUUUCUUGAAAUUUUAAUGAGGGAUCAUCUUAUUUAUGCUACCGUCGUUCUAAGCAAAUAAGAUGUAAACAUGAAAAACAUCACAUGCAAAUCAUAAAGUGACAUGAUAUGGCCAUCAUCAUCUUGCGCCUUUGAUCUCCAUCUUUGAGGCGCGGCAUGAUCACCUUCGUCACCGACAUGACACCAUGAUCUCCAUCAUCGUGUCUCCAUGAAGUUGUCUCGCCAACUAUUACUUCUACUAUUAUGGCUAACGGUUAGCAAUAAAGUAAAGUAAUUACAUGGCGUUGUUCAAUGACAUGCAGGUCAUACAAUAAAUAAGAUAACUCCUAUGGCUCCUGCCGGUUGUCAUACUCAUCGACAUGCAAGUCAUGAUUCCUAUUACAAGAACAUGAUCAAUCUCAUACAUCACAUAUCAUUCAUCACAUUCUUUUUGGCCAUAUCACAUCACAUAGCAUACCCUGCAAAAACAAGUUAGACGUCCUCUAAUUGUUGUUUGCAUGUUUUAAGUGGCUGCUAUGGGUUUCUAGCAAGAACAUUUCUUACCUACGCAAAAGCCACAACGUGAUAUGCCAAUUGCUAUUUACCCUUCAUAAGGACCCUUUUCAUCGAAUCUGGUCGGACUAAAGUGGGAGAGACUGGCACCCGUAGCCACCUUAUGCAACAAGUGCAUGUCAGUCGGUGGAACCUGUCUCACGUAAGUGUACGUGUAAGGUCGGUCCGGGCCGCUUCAUCCAACAAUACUGUUGAAACAAGAUAGGACUAGUAACGGUAAGAAUAUUGAACAAAAUCAACGUCCACAACAACUUGUGUUCUACUCGUGCAUAGAAUCUACGCAAUAGACCUAGCUCAUGAUGCCACUAUUGGGGAACGUAGUAGAAAUUUAAAAUUUUCUAUGCAUCACCAAGAUCAAUCUAUGGAGAGACUAGCAACGAGAGAGAGAGGGAGUGCAUCUUCACACCCUUGAAGAUCGCUAAGCGGAAGCGUUACAAGAACACGGUCGGUGGAGUCAUUCACGAAGCGAUUCAGAUCGCGGCCGAAUCCGAUCUAAGCACCGAACAAUGGUGCCUCCGCAUUCAACACACGUACAGCACGGGGACGUCUCCUCCUUCUUGAUCCAGCAAGGGGAGAGGAGAAGUUGAGGGAAAACUCCGAUAACACGACGACAUGGUGGUGAUGGAGCUCGUGGUUCUCCGGCAGGGCUUCACCAAGCACUACGGAGGAGGAGGAGGUGUUGGAGGAGGGAGAGGGCUGCGCUAGGGAAAGGGUGUGGCUGCCCUCUCUCUCGCUCACUAUAUAUGGGGGGAAGGGAGGAGGGGUAGGCGCCCUAGGGUUCCCUAGGGGAGGGGCGGCGGCCACAGGGGAAACCCUAGAUGGGUUUGGGCGCCCCCACCCCCUAGGAAACUUGCCCCCCAAGCCGGGAGGGGCGGCUUCCCUAGGGGUGGCGCCCCCACCUCUCCUGGUUACCUGAGAUGGGGCGGGAGGGGCACUCAUCCCCUUAGUGGGCUGAUGUGCCCCCUCCCCUUGUCCCAUAAGGCCCCCAACGCUUGUCGGGGCCUUCGAAACCCCUUUCGUACAUGCUGGUCAUCACCUGGUACCCCCAGAACAAUUCCGGACUCCAAUACCCUUCGUCCAAUAUAUCGAUCUUCGUCUCCGGACCAUUCCGGAGUUCCUCGUCACGUCUAGGAUCUCAUCCGGGACUCCGAACAACCUUCGGUAACCACAUACUAUUUCCCAUAACAACUCUAGCGUCACCGAACCUUAAGUGUGUAGACCCUACGGGUUCGGGAACCAUGCAGACAUGACCGAGACACCUCUCCGGCCAAUAACCAAUAGCGGGAUCUAGAUACCCAUAUUGUCUCCCACAUGUUCCACGAUGAUCUCAUCGUAUGAACCACGAUGUCGGGGAUUCAAUCAAUCCCGUAUACAAUUUCCUUUGUCAAUCGGUAUGUUACUUGCCCGAGAUUCAAUCGUUGGUAUCCCAAUACCUCGUUCAAUCUCGUUACCGACAAGUCACUUUACUCGUCCCGUAAUGCAUGAUCCCGUGACUAACUACUUAGUCAUAUUGAGCUCAUUAUGAUGAUGCAUUAUCGAGUGGGCCCAGAGAUACCUCUCUGUCAUACGGAGUGACAAAUCCCAGUCUCGAUUCGUGCCAACCCAACAAACACUUUCAGAGAUACCUAUAGUGCACCUUUAUAGUCACCUAGUUACGUUGUGACAUUUGGUACACCCAAAGCACUCCUACGGUAUCAGGGAGUUACACAAUCUCAUGGUCUAAGGAAAUGAUACUUGACAUUAGAAAAGCUUUCGCAAAUGAACUACACGAUCUUGUGCUAUGCUUAGGAUUGGGUCUUGUCCAUCACAUCAAUCUCCUAAUGAUGUGAUCCCGUUAUCAAUGACAUCCAAUGUCCCUGGUCAGGAAACCAUGACCAUCUGUUGAUCAACGAGCUAGUCAACUAGAGGCUCACUAGGGACAUGUUGUGGUCUAUGUAUUCACACAUGUAUUGCGGUUUCCGGUCAAUACAAUUAUAGCAUGAAUAAUAGACAAUUAUCAUGAACAAGGAAAUACAAUAAUAACCAUUUUAUUAUUGCCUCUAGGGCAUAUUUCCAACACCAUGACCUAAACCUAAAGUCAAACUCAUCCCCACCGAUUCUUUCUAUCCGGCGCCACCGAGUUUAGAUGUCAUAGCCACUGCCACAAACCCUAGGCAAAUCGGUCUCACCGAUAGGGAUCUCGGUCUCACCGAGAUGGGAUUGUAAUCUCUCUGUUUCCCUUCGUAACGUUUCGGUCUAACCGAAGUGAGCGAUCGGUCCCACCGAGAUUGCAAUGUAAACUCUCUGUUUCCUUUUUGUAACAUUUCGGUCUCACUGAAAUGAGUGAAUUGGUCCCACCGAGUUUACCUGACCAACUCUCUGGUUAGCUUAUUACCAAAAUCGGUCUCACCGAUUUUGUGUAAUCGGUCUCACCGAGAUUACGUUAUGCCCUAACCCUAACCAUAUUGGUCCUACCGAGUUGCAUGUUGGUCCCACCGAAAAUCACUAACGGUCACUAAGUUUACUAAAUCGGUCUGACCGAGUUUGUUGAUUCGGUCCCACCGAGCUUGGUAAAUUGUGUGUAACGGUUAGAUUUUGUGUGGAGGCUAUAUAUACCCCUCCACCUCCUCUUCAUUCGUGGAGAGAGCCAUCAGAACAAACCUACACUUCCAACUUACCAUUUCUGAGAGAGAAUUACCUACUCAUGUGUUGAGGCCAAGAUAUUCCAUUCCUACCAUAUGAAUCUUGAUCUCUAGCCUUCCCCAAGUUGCUUUCCACUCAAAUCUUCUUUCCACCAGAUCCAAAUCUUGUGAGAGAGAGUUGAGUGUUGGGGAGACUAUCAUUUGAAGCACAAGAGCAAGGAGUUCAUCAUCAACACGCCAUUUGUUACUUCUUGGAGAGUGGUGUCUCCUAGAUUGGCUAGGUGUCACUUGGGAGCCUCCGACAAGAUUGUGGAGUUGAACCAAGGAGUUUGUAAGGGCAAGGAGAUCGCCUACUUCGUGAAGAUCUACCGCUAGUGAGGCAAGUCCUUCGUGGUCGACGACCAUGGUGGGAUAGACAAGGUUGCUUCUUCGUGGACCCUUCUUGGGUGGAGCCCUUCGUGGACUCGCGCAACCGUUACCCUUCAUGGGUUGAAGUCUCCGUCAACGUGGAUGUACGAUUGCACCACUAUCAGAACCACGGCUCAAAAAUCACCGUGUCUCCAAAUUGUGUUUGAAAGCUCCAAACCCUUCCCUUUAAAUUAUUGCAAGUUGCAUGCUUUACUUUCCGCUGCUCAUAUACUCUUUGCAUGCUUGCUUGAAUUGUGUGAAGAUUGCUUGACUUGUGCUAAGAUAGCUAAAAUCUGCCAAAAACUAAAAUUGGGAAAAUGUUAAGUUUUUAAUUGGUCAAGUAGUCUAAUCACCCCCCUCUAGACAUACUUCAAGAUCCUACAAGUGGUAUCAGAGCUUUGGUCUCCAUUUGCUUUGAUUUCCAUAGCUUUUGGUGGUCAUAGCCUUGGUUUCACAACCUAGGAGAGUAUGGCGUCUAGCGAGGGAAAUUAUCACCGUAGAGGUCCUUACUUUGAUGGUACUAAUUUUGCUAGUUGGAAGCAUAAGAUGAAAAUGCAUAUUCUCGGACAUAACCCCGCCGUUUGGGCUAUUGUGUGUAUUGGCUUGCAAGGUGAAUUCUUUGAUGGGAGAGAACCAAACCAUGAAGCUAGCGCGGAUGAAUUGAAGAUGUUGCAAUACAACGCUCAAGCUUGUGAUAUCCUCUUCAACGGAUUGUGCCCCAAAGAAUUCAACAAAACCAGCCGUCUUGAGAAUGCAAAGGAAAUUUGGGAUACUUUAAUUGAUAUGCAUGAAGGUACUGACUCCGUCAAGGAAUCCAAAUUGGUUGUGCUCCAAAGUCAACUUGACAAGUUCAAAAUUAAGGAUGGUGAAGGUGUCGCUGAAAUGUACUCUAGGCUUGCUCUUAUCACAAAUGAGAUUGCGGGCUUAGGAAGUGAAGAGAUGACCGACAAAUUCAUCAUCAAGAAGAUCCUAAGAGCAUUGGAUGGAAAAUAUGAUACCGUGUGCACAUUGAUCCAAAUGAUGCCCAAUUAUAAAAAUCUCAAGCCAACGGAAGUCAUUGGAAGAAUUGUUGCUCAUGAGAUGUCACUCAAGGAUAAGGAGGAACUUCACAACAAGUCAAGUGGUGCUUACAAAGCCUCAUGUGAAGCUCCUACAUCAUCAAGUGAGAAACAAACCUUCAAUGAAGAAUUGAGCUUAAUGGUGAAGAACUUCAACAAAUUCUACAAGAGUAGAAGCAAAGAAAGAAGCUCCAAGUUAAGGUCCUACAAUGACAAAAUAUCUUCCAGUCGAGAGCGCAAUUGCUACAAUUGUGAGAGACCCGGACACUAUUCCAAUGAGUGUACGGCACCCUACAAAAGAAGAGACGGUUCUCCCAAGAGAAGAAGUAGAAGAGAAGAAUCACCGCCAAGAGAGAGAAGGAGUAGAGAUGAUCGUUAUGAACGAAGAACAUCCCGGAGAAGCAAGGAUUCGAAAAGGAAGGACAAGUCAUCAAAGAGCUACACAAGACGAAGACAUCAAGCUCAUGUUGGUGAAUGGGUAUUCGGUUCCGACUCUGAACAUCACUCCGAGAGAAGUUAUCACUCCGACUCCGAACAUACUCAACAUGAAGGUGUUGCCGGUCUAGCACUUGUGUCAACCAACUCCAACGACAUAUUUGAUUCACCAAAUGAAGGACUUGGAAGAUGCUUCAUGGCUAAAGGCCCUAAGGUAACACACCCCGAGUAUGUUGAUUUCAAUAGUGAUGAAGAUGACUUGUUAGGUGAUGAUGCUUUACUUGUUGACAACUCUAGUGAUGAAUACUAUGAUGAAACGUCAAUUAAUCAUGCUAAUCAAGAUAAAAUGAAUGACAAUGAUAAGGAUAAGAUUGAUAUUCUUACUAAAGAACUAAACACUCUUAAGUUAGCUCAUGAAACUAUCUUAGGGGAUCAUCGAGAACUUUUGAGGACUCAUGAGAAGUUACGCUUUGAAAAGCUCAAUCUUGAGCAAGAGCAUGAGUUCUUAAAAGCAAUCAAUGAUGAUCUUCGCAAGAAAAGUUCUUCUUACAUUGCCAAGCGUUUACUCUUAUCCACUUACAUGCCUCAAGUCAAGUCUAGUAACAAGAACAAGAAGGAUUCUUCCUCUAGUAGUAACGAUAAUCAUGCUAAAUCCAAUAUUGUUGCUUCUAGUAGUUCUCUUGAUUCCACUAAUGAUUCUCUUCGCCAAGUUACACUUGAGCAAGAAAAUAGCUUAUUGAAGGGAAUUAUAUAGAAAGGUGUUUACAAGAGCCUUGCCGGGAGUAAGCAAUUCGAGGAAAUUGUAUGCAAGCAAGGAAGGCACUGGAAGAACCAAGGUGUUGGUUUUGAACGAAAGUUCAAUGCCAAUGGAGUUGAGUGGGAAUAAGAUCAAUACCCCAAGAAGAAGUUUGUUCCUCAACAAGAGAAGUAUGAUCCUACUUCCUUCAAGGGAACACAAGCUCAAGAUGAUCUUCCACCAUAAGACCACAAGAAAACAGGCAAGGACAAGCUUCAAGAGGAGAUUGAUGCAUUUGAAGAAGCCCCUAAGGCCUUGGUCAAGUGGGUUCCCAAGACUACGUCAAGUUCUACUUCAUCAAGCACGACUACAACUCCAAGGAUUCCCAUCAAGAUGAUGUCAAUCCCGAAGAAGAAGAACUAGAGAGUUCUUGAGGGUGACUCCACCAACAUUCUUCACUCAUAUCAUUAUGGCAAGGACAAGUGCAAUCAACUUCCACAUCUUGCACUAGUUCAAGGAGUCACAAACCCUCAUGUUGGUAAGGCAAGGGACAAGGUAACCUAAUGCUUUCAUGGACAUCAUCUUGUGUGUGCAUCACUCUAUGUCUAUGGAUAUACGUGUUUGUUCCUUGUGGGACUAACCCAUGUAGGUAUUGAAAGUGCAACUCACUCCAAAGGAUUGCUCCAAAUGAUCUUCAUCAACAUUGAGCAUCCACAUCAUCAACACCUACAUGAAGUCAUCAUCGACAAAACCCAAGGGUAGUUCAUCCCUCUAAGGGGGAUCUCACAUCUAGGGGGAGCUUAACUCUAAGAAUUGAGUCAAAGCAACUCUAAUGGUGUGAACACAUCAAUACAUUAUGUAAAAGUGGUAACCCCACUUGAGCUUAAAACGAUGAGUAUGACCUAUGAUCAAAUGUUCUCAUUCGACUCCUAAGUCAAUAUACUCAUAUAUAGAUGACCUAGUCAUCGCCAAUUGUUUGAUAGAUGCUAGAAUUGGUUGUGCAUGCUUUGCCACAUAUUUCAUUUGCCAUUUUAUUGUGUGAGCAUGUUGGUUGCAUAUUUAACUCAUUCAAGGACAUCCACUUGUUGUUUUGAUUGAUUGGCUUCUUUUUCUUUUGCCAAGUGGAUGAACAAGAAUGCCUAAGAACCUUCUCUAGCUAUCUAUGCUUUUCUUGUCUCAAACUCUAUUCAUGCUACAUCACAAAAUUUGAUCAAGUCAGAUUCGAAGCACUCUGUGUGAGGAGCACUCGGAGUCCCCGAUUCGUCAUAGAAUUAAACUUCCAAAACUUCUUUGUGCAUUCCGGUCUGACCGAUUCUACCAUUUCGGUCAUACCGAGAUCACUAAGUUGAUCUAGGUUUUCAGUCUCGGUGCAACCGAUUUGAACUUUUCGGUCUCACCGAGUUGCUGUAACUGUCAACAGUUAUGCAUCUCGGUGCCACCGAGUUGUUCCACUCGGUCACACCGACAGGGUCGGGCUAUAUAUACUCACGGGCAAAAAAUUGGAAACCUUCUCCAAACCCCUUCGCCUGCGCAUAGCUCACUCUGCCUCCAAGGUCUCCGGAUCAUCGACUUCGUCGCCAGCCGCCUCCAGUCGCUGGUCUCCGCCGCCGUCAACGGAAUUCAUCCCCGCCAUUGCCGCCAUAGCGAGUUCAUCGCCAAACUAGGGUAUGGACUCGAUCACAGUGCUAUCCCCGUCCGAUUCCUAGCACAUUGUGUUCAUUAUGAUUCUUGCCACGAUUGAAACGCUUCUAUCCAGUCAAAACAAUCUUUAGAUUAGAUGUGAAUUGAAAAUUUAGGGUUAGGUUUCCGCCGAAACCAUCUCGGACCCACCGAGUUGAGAAACUCUGUUCCACCGAUUCGGCUAAGGCCAUUGCACAAGUGAUUCUCGGUCUGAUCGAGAAUUGAAAAUUGGUGUGACCGAGUUUAGAACUCUGUGAAACCCUAGCAGUCUCGGUGCCACCGAUAUGUGACUCGGUCUGACCGAGUUCACUAGUUUAGGUUCCAAAAGCUGCUUCGGUAUCAUCGAGUUUGCAAAUUGGUUGAUCCGAAAUGCUUUCUGUGGAAAAUUAAAACUAAGUUUUUGAAUCAUUCUUUUGAAAAAACCUCUGCAUUUUGUGAUGCUCAUCCAUUCUAUCUCAACUACAUCUAUUCACAGGGUCAGCAGUUAGUGUUUGCAGCAUGUCAGACCAAAGUGAUAGCCAGAACAGGGAAGAGGAGCAGAUUCACAUGAGUGAGGGCACUAGUCCCUCUAGCACCUCAGAUGAUGGCAACAGGAGCACUCCUAGCAAUUUGCCCAAAGCAGCCACAAGGGCCAGAAGGAAGAGAACCUCAGACUCUGAGGAUGAAGAUUAUGUGGCAGCUGAAGAUGAGGCUACUUCCAAGAAGAUAGUGCUCAAAAAGGAGUAUGGCUCAACUAAAACCACCAAGCCAAGACUAGACAGGAAGGUCCCUGCCAAGAGGACACCUAUGCUGAAAGUCAGAGCUUCAACUCAAGAACUUGAGAAAUCUGAACCCAAAGAGCCUGCUGCAGAAGGAAAGAAAAGGAAGGAAAGGGUCAAGAAGACCAUGGCCAGAGUUGUUGGACAACCUUCAAUGAUGGAAGAGGAAGUAGAAGAAGAAGCUACUGCUCCAGCACCCAAGGCACAAAAGCUUAUGGGUGAUGCUAUAAGGUUAGGGGCUGCAUCAUCAAAGCCCAAAGAAGCACCCAAAGCUGCCUCCAAGGCCAAGUCUGCACCUAAGAGGAAUACCAGGAGUAUACCGGCUGCUGAGAAGAACAAGGCCCCAGUGCCUGAAGUUGCUGAGGAAGAAGAAGAUGAAGGACAAGUUCUGAGGAAGCUGAAACCUAAGAUUCCAGACCAAAAUGAUGCUCAUCCAGUGGCUGAGAACAUGAAGCUGAGAAAGGAUGCAGGGCUCAGGCAAUGGAGAUUGUCUGAUACUUAUGCAAUCAGGAGGAGGACUGCUGUUGACUAUAGGUUCCACACUAAGGAACAACAGGAUUUCUAUGAGACUGUGCUACUGGACAAGAAGCCCAUAGUUUGUGACAUGAGGUGGUGGACUGGAAAUACAUGAAGGCAAAUGAGGAUCACUACCCAGGAGUGUUUGACAGCUUUAAGGCUUGUGGAGUUGAUGAGUUUGUUGGACAGAAGUUCACAAACUGGAAUGAUGAGCUUGUAAUGCAAUUUUACUCCACAGCUCACUUUUAUCCUGAUGGCAAAAUAGUCUGGAUGUCUGAAGGUACAAGGUACCAAUCCACAAUUGAAGAAUGGGCUGAACUGAUCAAUGUACCAGAGGAGAGUGAAGAUGACUUGGAUGUAUACUCCAAGAAGAAGAAGGAUCACAAUUCUAUGUCACACAUGUAUAAGGAGAUACCAGAUAAAGCACUUGAGACUUUCAAGUUUGGGUCUGUCCAUUUCCUUGUAUCAGGGCUGCCAACGAUCAACUGGAUCCUAAGACACACUCUCUUGCCCAAGUCAGGUGACUACAACAUGAUCAGAGGGCAUGCAAUAAACUUGCUACACAUAUUUGAUGUGCCUCAGAAAUUCAAGGUCAUGAGCCUCAUUGUUGAGACGAUCAAGAGGACAACAGUUGACCAGAAGAGAAGCUGUGGGUAUGUCCCACAGAUCCAGGAGCUAAUCAACUCCAAGAUGGGCACAUGCAAAUACUUGUUGGACAAGGAACACUUUGCUAUAUACCCAGACUUUGAGGACAAUCAAGUAGUCAUGAAUGGGAAUGAACCAUCUUCAGUGCAAGCUCAAGAGAAGAAGGAGAAGGCAAAGAAGGAGAAGGCUGCCAAGAUGCCAACUUUAGAGGAGGCAUCUGAGUACUUUUUGAAGAGCAAGCAGGACCAGCUUGGUUACUUAAUAGCAUCAACUCUGAGGAUUGAGAAAGGGUUGGCCACCCUAACUCAAAAGCAGGAGAGCCUGGAAAGAAUCAUGGAACAAAAGUUCUGUGACUUAGAUGUGAAAGUAACUGAGAUCCAGUCUGUUGUGGAGCAGCUUCAGGAUGAUAUGCAGGAGAGGAAGGGCAAGACAACCACAGAUGCAUUUGCCAGAGUGCCUCGAGCUCAGAGGUCAGCUGCAGUGCCAGUGACAGACACCAGAGCCACUUCAUCCGCACCAGCUACAGGUCCUACCGCUCCAGUGCAACCAGCUUCAGCACCUCACCUCCAGUUCCAUCCACAUCAACUGAAGUCUUCAUCCAAGGAGCCAUCUCUACACCACCACAUCAAGACCAAGCCUGAGAGAUGAAAUAGUACUAUGCAUUUUCUAGGAACUUUUUGGUAACUUGUUGCCAAAGGGGGAGAAAAAUGUAUAGAUCAUGGGCUUCGAGAGUGAGAGUUUGCUUUUGUUCUCUCUUGCCUUCAUGGUUGAACUUUAUUUGCUUUUGCUUGCUUGAGAUACUACCUUAUUGUCUGUGUGAUACAAUGAUGAUCAUGUGUUUGAUCAUAUGCUAUCUUAAUGCUUGUUAGUUGACAAUAUCCCAUUUAUCUUUAUAUGGUCAUUCACUUUGCUUGGUGAUGAGUGCAUGAAUUCAAUCUUUAUUAUUUUGAGCGCUCCACCAAGAUGUUUGUGACAUGGAAGAGUAACCCAUGAACCUAACUCCUUGUGCAUUUGCAGUCUAAAGCAAAUCUUAAACUAUGCACAAAUUUUGGGGGAGCUCUUGCUUGUCACAUACUUCUCAAAGCGAUGAUGUUUUUCAAUAUUAUUAUCAGUUGUCGAAGCUUUGAUCUAUAUGUUGUCAUAAAUUACCAAAAAGGGGGAGAUUGAAAGUGCAACAAUCCCUAGGUGGUUUUGGUAAUUACUAACAACAUAUAGCUCAUUGAGCUAAUACUAUUCCAAGACAAAUAUUUCAAGAAAAGCUCAAUGAAUGGCAUGGCAUGGAUGAGGAAAGUGGACCCCUCAAAAUACUAAGGAUAAAAGGAUUAGCUCAAGCUCAAAAGCUCAAGACUCUACAUUUUAUAUUUUAGUGAUCCAAGAUCACAUUGAGUCUAUAGGAAAAGCCAAUACUAUCAAGGAGGGAUGAGGUGUUGUUUAAUGAGUUUCUUGCUUCAAGUGCUUAGUGAUAUGCUCCAAAAACCCUCAACUUUCUCAUAUCCACCUAUGACCUAAACCUAAAGUCAAACUUGGCCCCGCCGAUUCUUUCUAUCUGGCGCCACCGAGUUUAGAUGUCAUAGCCACUGCCACAAACCCUAGGCAAAUCGGUCUCACCGAUAGGGAUCUCGGUCUCACCGAGAUGGGAUUGUAAUUUCUCUGUUUCCCUUUGUAACGUUUCGGUAUAACCGAAGUGAGCAAUCGGUCCCAUCGAGAUUGCAAUGUAAACUCUCUAUUUCCUUUUUGUAACAUUUCGGUCUCACUAAAUUAGUGAAUCGGUCCCACCGAGUUUACCUGACCAACUCUCUGGUUAGCUUAUUACCAAAAUCGGUCUCACCGAGUUUGUGUAAUCGGUCUCAUCGAGAUUACGUUAUGCCCUAACCCUAACCACAUCGGUCCUACCGAGUUGCAUGUCGGUCCCACCGAAAAUCACUAACGGUCACUAAGUUUACUAAAUCUGUCUGAUCGAGUUUGUUGAUUCGGUCCCACCGAGAUUGGUAAAUUGUGUGUAACAGUUAGAUUUUGUGUGGAGGCUAUAUAUACCCCUCCACCUCCUCUUCAUUCGUGGAGAGAGCUAUCAGAACAAACCUACACUUCCAACUUACCAUUUCUGAGAGAGAACUACCUACUCAUGUGUUGAGGCCAAGAUAUUCCAUUCCUACCAUAUGAAUCUUGAUCUCUAGCCUUCCCCAAGUUGCUUUCCACUCAAAUCUUCUUUCCACCAGAUCCAAAUCCUGUGUGAGAGAGUUGAGUGUUGGGGAGACUAUCAUUUGAAGCACAAGAGCAAGGAGUUCAUCAUCAACACGCCAUUUGUUACUUCUUGGAGAGUGGUGUCUCCUAGAUUGGCUAGGUGUCACUUGGGAGCCUCCGACAAGAUUGUGGAGUUGAACCAAGGAAUUUGUAAGGGCAAGGAGAUCGCCUACUUCGUGAAGAUCUACCGCUAGUGAGGCAAGUCCUUCGUGGGCGACGGCCAUGGUGGGAUAGACAAGGUUGCUUCUUCGUGGACCCUUCUUGGGUGGAGCCCUCCGUGGACUCGCGCAGCCGUUAUCCUUCGUGGGUUGAAGUCUCCAUCAACGUGGAUGUACGAUAGCACCACCUAUCGGAACCAUGGCUCAAAAAUCACCGUGUCUCCAAAUUGUGUUUGAAAUCUCCAAACCCUUCCCUUUACAUUCUUGCAAGUUGCAUGCUUUACUUUCCGCUGCACAUAUACUCUUUGCGUGCUUGCUUGAACUGUGUGAAGAUUGCUUGACUUGUGCUAAGACAGCUAAAAUUUGCCAAAGACUAAAAUUGGGAAAAUGUUAAGUUUUUAAUUGGUCAAGUAGUCUAAUCACCCCCCUCUAGACAUACUUCAAGAUCCUACAAGCGGUGGCCUUACUUGGACCCGAGCGACGGCGACCUACCGUGUUCUACUCUUCCUUGUUUUCUAUGUGGCGCGGCCUCGUUGGCAGCGGGGCGGGGCCUCGGUGGAGCCGGCGAUGUCCUCUGUCUCGUUGUCGGCGGGCGGCGCCUCAGCGGAGUGGUGGAAAUCCUCCCCCACGUUGCCAGCAGGGUGGGGUCUCGGCUGAGCCGGUGAUGUCCUCUGCCUCGUUGUUGGCGGGGCGGGGGCUCGGCGGAGCCGACGGUUUCCUCUGCCUCGUUGUUGGCGUCGCGGGGCCUCGACGGAGCCGGUGGUGUCCUCUGCCUCGUUGUUGGCGCCGCGGGGCCUCGGCGGACCAGGGCCUCGUCGACGCCAGCAGAGCGGGGACUCGUCGGAGCCGACAUUGUCCUCUGCCUCGUCCUCGAUCUCCCUAAACAGCACCUCGCCCUCUUUGCUAGCCUCUUUGUAGGCGGCCGCAGCCUCCGCCACCCGCAUGCGGUACUGCCAGCGCUCGAGGCGGCCCUUGCGGGUGAAGCGGUACGAGUCGAGCAACGCCUCCUGCUUCGCCCGCUCCGCGGCGAUCUGCUCCUCCGCCUGCAGGUGCUCCUGGAGGAGAUGGUGGUUGUAGGCGGCGUCGGCCUGCGCCUCCCGGAACUGCUCCUCACGCAUCUGCCUCACCCUAUCCUUAUAUUGGGCACGGGCCUCACGGAUGGUCAUGGUGCAAUGCACCGGCGAGGAUGGCGCGGAGGAGGGGGUUGGCGCCGGAUCGUCGACUACCAUGUUCUCCAUUGGGACGUCGUCGUCCUUCGGCUGCCUGUCGGCCAGCCGGUCGCCAGCAAUGGCUGCCAUCUCCUUAUGGUCCGUCAUCCGCCCGUCCCGAAAGCGCUGCAGCGCGAGGAAGCCAUGGUGGGCAGUAGUGGUGUGGACAGGAGAAAGGGAAAGGAUGCGGAUGACUACGGCUAUGGCCGACGCAACAGUUUAUAUAGCAAUGGUGGGCGGGCGAAGGGACGAACAUGUGGCGCAGGAGUAGCUGCCUCGGCAACCGUGUAUCAUUAAUGUGUGCGGCAGAUGGACGGACGGACGACACUUGUGUCAUUUGAAGGCGGAGCAAUCGCCUGCACCGGGAAGCGGGGCGGCCGGCGCUGACUGUUUCGGGCGGAAAGCGCGCGUGGGCGAGGAGAUGACUUUACUUGGAGAGGAUGACAAUGGGGACCCACCAGGUCCAUAGCCUCAUGUACGCAAGUGCCUCCUUAUUAUAUAUAUAUAACUAUAAUUUCUUUUGCUUCCUCCUGGUUUCCUGACAUCACGGUCCCACACCAUUGUCAACCUAUGCACUCCCUCCUUUCCGGUUUAUAGGGCUUAUCUCAAAAUUUUAGUUUUUCCAUUUUAUAAGGCUCAAUUUGGUUGUUUUCCAUCACAUGUUCAGAUUCCAAGGUGCAUUAAAUCAUUGCAUGAAAGUAUUAAGAGAAAAUUGACCAAUGCAUGUACUUUAUGCAUGCAUGUAUUGCAAUUAAUGCAUUGAUAAACAUAAUUUUUUGAGGAUAACAAGAGCAUUAAUUAGGUGCUUUUGCAAAACUACAAAAAGUAUUCCACCACUCACCAUCUACCUUGAUUGGUGAGAUUUUUGAAUUGAGCAUUAUAAACCGAAAAGGAGGGAGUAGUCAAUAAACGAGAGAAUUGCACAAGAAGCGACCGACAGCUGGGACCAAGCAGCUCGAGCAGUAUUUGUGUUUUUGAGGUGUGAGCACUGCAGAGUUUUUCGAUGUUUACCCCAGAUAUUAAUUUUUCUCCUCUGAACAACAACGAAAACAUCGCUGCAGGUAUUAACUGGGCGGGAUGUGGCCCGUCUAGCCCAGGCCAGAUAUCCAGCCCAGAUAUCAAUUUUUUCAAGCUGAAAAUGGCUAGCCCAGCUAUACUUUUUUUUAGGAAUACCCAAGCAAGGUCAAGUUGUUAUUCUCCGCCCCGCUGGGCUGCAAAUCUUUCCUAGGAGGGAUGAUUAGGCUUAACAAGAAAAUGAGCUUUAAGAAACAAUAAAUGGGAUGUAAUUAUAAAAACUGGGUAGUAACUAUAAAAAAAUGCACCAAACAGUGAUUACUUUAUAAAAUAUUAUUUUUGGAUAUUAAAAAUUUUAAUUUCAUUAAUUGUUGCGAGCGCAAUGUUUUGUUGGAUUUUUACGUAAUAUAAAUUUGUAUUGAAAUUGUAUUUAAUCUGACUAGAAAUUUCGGGAUAAAAAUAUUCAGAUCCCAUCAAAGCGUGGGAAUUUUUAUUGAAUUCUAUUUUGAACGGUUGGUUUAAAUGGACUGUACUUUUAACAAACUGUAAAUGGGCUAUAGUAAAUUCCAUUAGAAUUCAAAAAUGGGCUACACAUUCUUACAAAUAUCAAAUGGGCUAUAAGCUCUCUGCCACACACUUCUGGCCUUACUAAGUUGACGCGUCCCCUAAAAAAACAGAGUUGAUGCGUAUGCAAGGCUUUGUCAACUUAUAGUCAACACACGGUUCCUGCAGCAGUGGCCGUUGGAUGUCCAUCCAACGGAUGACGUGCUUCUUCUUCAAUCUCGGAUAUUCUAGCUUCUCCUGCCCAAAAAAUGAUUCCUCCCCCUGACAUCUGGGGCGCACCGUUUCGGAAGCUAACCCGUGGGCCUACUAAGUUGACGUACCAAGGGCUUUGUCAACUUAGUCAAUAUAAACGAUUCUAGCUGCAGUGAUCGUACGAUGUCCAUCCAACGGCCGUCGUGCUUCUUCAACCUCUGGUCUUCUUGCUCCAGCCGCCCAAAGCAGCGCCGGUCGUGCCGCCUGCUCCUGCCUCCUGUGGCCGGCUGUGCUGCCGCGGAGGCCUCACCGCCCCCUACUACUCCCACCGCUGGCCAGGCCAUCCCUCCACUCACCCACACCCCAUGUUAUUCUGCGGCGACGGCAGCACAGCCGAACCAGUGAACUCUCGUACUCCUCUACGCGUGUGCAUCCACUGCCGCGUCUUCCCUGGCUCCGCGUCGUCCCCUUCCUAGGCCUCGCCGUCGUCCACCACCGUGGUGCUCUCGGCACGGCGUGGUCAACAUGGUCAAGGAACGACUUCCAUCAGACGUGGACUGUACGUGGAGAGGCUGACAGCUGGGUCCAUGGUAGCCGCAAGGAAGUGCCUCCUUAUUACGCGCAAAAUAAUUAUUCCUCCACCUGACAGCGGGGACCCACCGGACGGGCCACUGUAUUUCGCGAAAAAAAUGAUUCACCCCCUGACUACUGGGACCCACGAGCUACAUCUUCGCACGCAAGGAAGUGCGUCCGAAAAAAACGAUUCGCCCCCCUAACUGUUGGGACCCACCAGCUACAUCUUCGCACGCAAGGAAGUGCGUCCAAAAAAAUGAUUCGCCCCUCGACUGCUGGGACCCACCAGCUACACCUUUGCACGCAAGGAAGUGCGUCCGGGCAAAAAAAACGAUUUGCCCCCCUGACUGCUGGGACCCAGCAGCUACACCUUCGCAUGCAAGGAAGUGCGUCCGGGCAAAAAAACCCAAAAUGAUUCGCUCCCCUGACUGCUGGGACCCACCAGCUACAUCUUCGCAGGCAAGGAAGUGCCUGAUAGUCGGGACCAACCUGGUCGAAGCGUACAUAGCGUUGUCAUCCAGGUCGUCAACGUGUACGUACAUACUGGUCGAUGUAGAGGCGCGCACGUGUCGUAGUAGAGGCUCACACAUGUCGUAGUAGAGGCGCGCACGUAGCAUGUACACGUACUUACAGCGGCCAGGGUGCAACAAAAGAAAAUACGGCCACGUAUGUGUACAUACGGGCGGGGUCUCGAACGCCUACUCGCGCAUACGUACGGCGAGGGCUUGUGUUCAUGGGGAAGCAACGGAAUGCGUCGUGUUCAUGGGGAGGCAACGGAAUGCGUCGUGUUCAUUGGGAGGCAAUGGAACGCGUGGGAGCCAACCGGCUGGGUCGGAACGGAAUACGUGGUCGUGUUCAUCGGGAAGGCUUGGACGGAACAUGCGAUGGAAACGAGGCCUGGCGUACCGCAAAACGGAGGAAACGGACCUCCUACGGUCGAAACGAGGGUCCUGUUGAUCGGGAGGGGUGUGGCGUACCGCAAAACGGAGGAAACGAACCUCCUACGGUCGAAACGGGGGUCCGGUUGAUCGGGAGGGGUGUGGCGUACCGCAAAACGGAGGAAACGGACCUCCUACGGUCGAAACGGGAGUCCUGUUGAUCGGGAGGGGUCUGGCGUACCGCAAAACGGANNNNNNNNNNNNNNNNNNNNNNNNNNNNNNNNNNNNNNNNNNNNNNNNNNNNNNNNNNNNNNNNNNNNNNNNNNNNNNNNNNNNNNNNNNNNNNNNNNNNNNNNNNNNNNNNNNNNNNNNNNNNNNNNNNNNNNNNNNNNNNNNNNNNNNNNNNNNNNNNNNNNNNNNNNNNNNNNNNNNNNNNNNNNNNNNNNNNNNNNNNNNNNNNNNNNNNNNNNNNNNNNNNNNNNNNNNNNNNNNNNNNNNNNNNNNNNNNNNNNNNNNNNNNNNNNNNNNNNNNNNNNNNNNNNNNNNNNNNNNNNNNNNNNNNNNNNNNNNNNNNNNNNNNNNNNNNNNNNNNNNNNNNNNCUGCGGUCGAAACUGGGGUCCUGUUCAUCGGGAGGGGUCUGGCGUACCGCAAAGCAGACGAAACAGACCUCCUACGGUCGAAACGGGGUCCUGUUCAUCGGGAGGGGUGUGGCGUACCGCAAAACGGGACUCCACGGGAUACUGUACAUCUCCACCGUCGACCUCCUCCAGCCUCCACGGGCUCCUGUUCAUCCAGCCUCCACCGCGCGCUACUCCACCGGCUACUGUUCAACCACCCCUCCACCGUCUACUAUUCAUCCAGCCCUCCACACCACGGGGUCCUGUUCAACCACCCCUCCAUGGGCACCCUUCCAUCGUCUACUGUUCAUCCAGCCCUCCACCACACCACGGGGUCCUGUUCAUCCAGAGGCAACGCCACCGCUCACUGUUCAUCCAAACCCCCCGCAACGCUCACUGUUCAUCCAAUCGAUCGGCUUCAGUUAGCAGCAGUAGCGAAGGAAUCGCUCGAUCUGGUUCAGUUAACAACCAUCAAUCGAUCGCUCGGAUUCAGUAACGUGUAGCCUGCAGUGCAAUCGCUCGGGUUCAGUUAGAGCUCAACGCCUCGCUCGGGUUCAGUUAGAGCCAACGCCUCGCGCACACACGCGUACAUGCACGAGAGAAACACGCAUCGCUCGGCCCCGACCUCCCACCGUAAUCGGCAACUCCCUGAAAUUUUCCUCCCCCUCGCUUCUACCACGGUUUUUUCCGUCAUGGACGGCCCAAAGAAUGUCAUGCAGCUGCAUCUCCGGCCCAGCCAGGACGAAAAGCCCAUUUUCUGUCAUGAUUUUUUGUCAUAGAAGUAGGAGCCCACCACAUCUAUGAUGAUACCGGGUUUUGUCACAAUUAUCGUCAUAGAAGUGUCAUAUGUAUGACAUAAUUUUUUUUGUUCGGCCCAAAAUGUCACAGAUGUGUAUUUUUUUUGUAGUGGCAACCACAGGGCACGAUUCCUUGUGCUUCCUUGACGCAUAUUCCGGAUAUCAUCAAAUUAAGAUGAAAGAAUCCGAUCAGGCCGCAACGGCAUUCAUCACUCCAUACGGGCCCUUCUGCUUCAAUACUAUGCCUUUUGGGCUCAAGAACGCCGGCGCAACUUACCAACGCAUGAUUCAAACAUGCUUGGAAAAACAGAUCGGCAAAACUAUGGAAGCAUACGUAGAUGACAUAGUCAUCAAGACCAAACAUGUAGAUUCAUUGGUGGAUGACUUACGCCUUACAUUUGACAACCUCUGAACAUAUGCCAUACGGCUCAAUCCGGAAAAAUGUGUUUUCGGCGUUCCAGCUGGAAAACUGCUUGGGUUCAUUGUUUCCAAUAGAGGAAUUGAAGCAAACCCCACUAAAAUCCGAGCCUUGUCACAGUUGGCAACACCAACAGAUCUCAAGCAGGUCCAAAAAUUAGCUGGGUGCGUGGCAUCUUUAAGCCGUUUUAUCUCCAGAUUAGGGGAAAAGGCGUUGCCAUUAUAUCGUUUGCUACGCCGCACUGACAACUUCGUGUGGACGGACGCUGCCACAGCCGGAUUGGAGGAAAUAAAGGCUUUGUUAGCAAGCAACCCAAUCCUGGACGCACCAAAUGUCGACGAACCAAUGCUGCUCCAUAUCUGCAACUCACCAAGUAGUGAGUGUAGUGCUCGUCGUUGAGCGGAAUGAGGAGGGACACAAAUUCCCAAUUCAAAAACUGGUAUAUUAUGUAUCAACGGUCCUUACACCAUGUAAAUCCCGAUACCCGCAUUAUAAAAAGAUAGCAUAUGCGGUCUUCAUGGCAUCCCGCAAGCUGCGGCACUAUUUUCAAGAGUGCUCCAUCACGACCGCUUCUGAAGUACCACUUAACGAUAUUAUAAAUAAUCGGUACGCCACCGGCCGGAUUGCCAAAUGGGCCAUUGAGCUCUUACCAUUUGAAAUAAUUUACAAGCCACGUCGAGCUAUUAAAUCUCAGGUGUUGGCUGACUUCGUCGCUGAAUGGACAGAGGCCGAAAUCCCUAAAGAAUAUGGCACAUACUCCAACUGGGUGAUGCACUUCGACGGCUCUAAGAUGUUAGAUGGAUUAGCGGCUGGUGUCGUUUUUACAACCCCCACAGGAGAUACAAUCCGUUAUGUGCUCCAAAUACUGUACACAGAUUCUAACAAUGCAGCCGAAUACGAGGCCUUAUUGCACGGUCUCCGGAUAGCUGUCUCCAUGGGCAUACAAUGCCUUGAAGUGUGCGGGGAUUCAAACCUUGCAAUAUCUCGAUAAAUAGAGACUUCGAUGCAAAAGAUUCGAAGAUGGCGGCUUAUCGUAAUGUCAUACUCAAAAUUUCAGCUUGAUUUGAAGGGCUCGAGUUUCAUCAUGUGGCUCGAGAGAGUAAUCAAGCGGCGGACAUACUUGCCUGCAUGGGUGCUAAACGCGACCCCGUCCCACCUAACACCUUUGUUGAGAGGCUUUUUAAGCCAUCCGUAGUGUGGCAGGAUGGCAGCGGCAACAUUGUUCCAGAGCCAACCAUACCCCCAGAUUCCAAACAAAACUCCGAUAUCAUCGGGGGUUCGAACAUCAAGAUAACACCAUCGACCCACAAAAUCAUGGCUGUCAUCGCCCCGUGGACCGAACCUUUCCUCGCCUACCUUACUAGGAACGAGCUCCCUGAUGAUCAAACGGAGGCCCGUCGCAUUGUUCGACGUUCGAAGACUUACAAAGUUCACGAGGGGGAACUGUACAAGAAAAGUACAACUGAAGUCUUACAACGGUGUAUCUCCGAAGAAGAAGGACGACAGCUCUUGGCCGAAAUACACGCUAGUCUUGGUGGCCAUCACGCCGUUGCUCGGGCUCUCGUAAGUAAGGCCUUCUGUAUGGGUUUCUUUUGGCCCACAGCCCGAGCAGACGCGCAAGACCUUGUACAAUGAUGUGUUGGAUGCCAGCUUUUAUCAAAUCAAAGCCACAUGCCACCCACUGCUUUGCGAACAAUCCCCAUUACGUGGCCUUUUGCGGUCUGGGGGCUCGACAUGGUCAGACCCCUUAAAGGGGGAAGCCAUAAGAAGAAAUAUUUACUGGUUAUGGUCGACAAAUUCACUAAGUGGAUAGAAGCCAAACCAGUCAAAACGACCGAGGCCGGACCAGUUAUAGACUUCAUAUCCGGUGUGGUGCACCGUUAUGGUGUAUCGCUAGUAUCAUUACUGGCAACGGUUCUAACUUUACGGCCGGUGAGGUAAAAACCUGGUGCGCUAAUUUGGGCAUUAAGCUCGAUUACGCCUCUGUAUAUCACCCUCAGACAAAUGAUCAGGUCGAGCGGGCUAACAGCUUGAUCAUGAGCGGCAUUAAACCCAGACUAGUACGAUCCUUGCGCGAAUCAGACAAGCACUGGGUUGAAGAACUCGAUUCCGUACUCUAGGGGCUGCGUACCACACCCAAUCGCACGACUGGAUAAACACCUUUUUUCAUGGUGUACGGCGCCGAGGCAGUACUGCCUUGUGACAUUAUUCAUGACUCACCUCGAGUGUGCAUGUAUGAAGAGAGGGAGGCCGAGCUCGAUCGACAGGAUGAUCUGGAUGGCUUGGAGGAGGAGCGCGACGUUGCGAAGGCCCGUUCCGCAUUUUACCAACAGCAAGCCCGACGAUAUCAAAGCAGGGAAGUACGGGCAAGGACUUAUAAUGUCGGUGAACUCGUCCUGCGCCUACCAGAGAAGAAAAAGGACAAGCUCAAGGCCCAAUGGGAGGGUCCCUUCAUCAUAGAUGAAGUUCCCACUUGAGGAGCCUAUCACCUGCGCAAUGCUUCGGAUAAUCGUUUAGAGCCAAACCCAUGGAACGCCGCUCGGCUCUGUAUAUUCUACGCCUAAAUCCACACUUGUAACUUUUUUUCUCUCGUCUUUUCUCUUUUUCACCCCUCUUUUCUAUUUUCAGUUUUUACAACUUCUACCAGUGUUCGGAUCAACCGUACACCCGAGGGCUAUACAUCAUCAAAUGUAGACACCCCUUAUCACCUGGGGGGUUCUUUUUACAGAAGCUUAUUCUGAUUAUUAUUUUGGAGUGUCAAGCUCACCGUAUAUAUGUGUUGUCUACUCAUAUGUGUCCUGUCUUCGCCAUUAUAUGCACCUUUAUGACUUAAGUUUUUGCCAAAUUGGGUUGCCUGGCUCUUGUGCUUAUGCCCUACAUUUCCUCUUGUUCGGCUAGGGCAUAAAGGGAGCACCUCUGCCAUUGUUACAGACGGGUUAUCCGGAUGUGUACCUCAGACGGGUGAAGCCGAAAGCUAGCAUUCUUAAGGGAAUAAUCGAUCGGCGGACAAGAGACAAACUGCCCACGUUGCAAUAUACGCCCCCAUAUUAUAAAGUGUAUUGUGAUCUCCCCAUCACAGUUUAUGUAUGCGCGAAAAUGCAUGCUGGCACAGGGAAAGGAACCCUUAACGGAACUAUUCUCUCUGGAAGAUGUUUCUUACGAUCAAAUGUAGUAUAACAUAACUCCCCGAAUACAACUUGUCUGUUCAAGCAACUAUGACCGGACCGCCUAGUUUCCGAACAUACCUUGGUGUUUACCAAUGGUCUAAAAUAUUCGAAAACACUCCAAACAUCUGGCUUUGGAGGUUGAAGCGGAAAGUCUGCCAUGACAAUCGUUUUACAAUUCGGCUGGAGAAAAGUUUGUUGAUGAAGUACAUUACUACUUGGACUCAAAAACUUACUCUUCCUCUAGACCCUCUAGUAGGUUGUCUAGUUUACAAUCCUAUUGAGAAAACUUAGCUGCCGUUUUCACUUGGUCAUACACUAAGCUAACAGGGAUUUCUUGUCCAUCUGGUCCCCGAGGUCCGACCCGGGCCAUAUAAUUCGGAUCAAGCUUGGUAUAUCAUGUUUUUACCAUGGCCCAGGCUUCUCGAGCGCCUUCCCGACAUGCUGAUAUCUUCCAUAGCUCCAAACGGUGACGAGCUCCCUUGAAUAAAUUUGCAAGCUCAUCCAUACUUCCUAGAGGGGAAUUAGAUGGCCAUAACGCCUUAGCAAUGUUCCUCGUUGCCUUUCGAGCUCGCUCAUGCACUUUGGACAGCUCUUGUAGCAGGUCGCCUUGAAAUCCGGACACUUCUCCUUCGGGACGACCGGUUAGCACACCUACAGAAGCAAACUUGUCAAAAUUUCAAACAGGAGACCAUUCUUGACUAAUAGGUUACAAUGCAUAUUGAAUAUGUCGCCUUUCAAUUUCUUGUUCUCCUUCAAAGCAUCCGAUAAUUGGGCUCUCAAAUCCUUCAGUUCUUCGGCCUGCUUGAUGUUGGCAUCCUAAAGUUUGUUCUUCUCAUUAAUGGUCCGUGUCAAAACACGUUGACCAGCGGCUUCUUGCCCUUUGGCAUGUUGUUUAUCUGCUUGAGCAGCCCUUAGCUUCUCCUCCAGCCGAUCUGUCGAGCCUACCAACGAGACACAAGCAUAAUUAGGAAACCUCGUUGUAUUCACGGAGCCUUAUCUCCGAACUACUGCUGCACUUACCAUCAGGUGCCUUCUUGGAUUUCUUUAAAUCUUCGAGUUCAGCAGUAGCAGCAGACAGCUUUGUUCGGCAUUCUUCAAGCUCCUUGGAUAACUUUUUACUCCUCUCCGUGAGUAUCUAACAAAGUAACGACUCUUAAAUCAGUUGGGCCAACUGCUUCAAGACUCGAGGGCUACUGGCAUAUGAUUAUUGAAUCUGCCCAAAAAUUCUUACCCGCAUAUCCUUUGAAAGCUGGUGAGUUGGCGGGGUUGAACCUGGCGAAGUGCGAGUACCUUGCCGAUGCCAUCAUCGACUCCUUCCACAAUGUCAACUAGAUUAUGAUAUGCGUCGCGACCACGAUAAUGUGAUAAGUUCCUUCUAUAGUUUGCUGGGAUUUUUGGGUCCUUCCAGCUCGAGUU